rnacentral:lncRNA from 1 species
UGGCCACCAAGUCAGCCACAAUACGCUCCUAUUCUGAUCCUCCUCACACGUGCCACUUCUUCUAUGGCUCUUUCCCUCAUUAUUACCCUCAUGCCUCGACACUUGUCUUUGAUUAAAGGUAUCCAUAAAGUGGUUUCUUCAAAUUUCUUUAUUGUGAUGUCCAAUUGUAGUUGUUUUUAAAAGUACAAAGUCUUCAAUUGUAGCCUAUUUUAAUUAAAACAAGUCUCGACAUAUCAGAACAGAUGCUAUUACAUAGAUGAGAUAUUGAUGCACCUUCAUCCGGAUCUUUCAAAAAAAAAAGAAUUAGUUCAAAUCUGAUUGUUUCUAUGCAUAGAAAUAAAAUUAACUUUUGUUCAAAUUCUUUGUUUUUCCUUGUACUAAUCAAAAUAAUAAAUAAAUAAAACUAUUUUAAUACAAUAGAGGAAUUGGUAGAGGGGCAGUAGAAGAAGGGGAGGGAGGGUCCAAAGUGUGAGAAUUAAAGUUUGAAGUUAGUCAUGUUUUUGAUGAUGACUCGAGUGUUGCAGUAGUAGAAUUAAAAUGAAAAGUGAUUGAGUAGGAUUGUAGUAGUAAAAGUAAAAGGGAGAAUAAAUUUGUAUAUGUAGUUUUGUUAGAUGGAAAGAGAAGAGAAGGAAUAAUUAAGCACUCUAGAAAACUAACCAACUGUGUGAAGAAUGGAGUUGAUCACUUUUUUUUUUAUCAUUUUGAAAUACAAAUAACGGUGAAGAUUGAAGAAUGAAUUUUUUUGAAAUAUACGAGGAACAAAAAGCCGAUCCUCCUUUACAUUUUUCACAACUUGCCUAUUUAUUUUACAUAUAUAUAUAUAUAUAUCAUCAUCUCAAGAUGCCUUUUUUUUUAUUAUUAUUUUAUCUUUUAUUACUUUUUCUUUUUCUUUUUCUUUACAAUACAUUCUUUUUAAAGUAACAUAAAUGAUCAUGUUUGACUUAAAAUCUUAAUAAAAAGAAUUUGAACCCAUUACACAUUUGCUAUUGCCAAAAUCAUAAUUGUGUUUGAUUGGAAUGAUUCAAUACAUGAAACUCUGUUACCCACCAUUUAUAAUUUUAUUAUAUAUAUACAAGAACAAAUAGUUGUGUAAUGUGCGGUUGGGUUAAAUUCUAAAACUAUUGUCCAAUUUUUCUUUUUUUCUUUUAUGCAACUACUUUAGCACAGAAUUUCUACUUAAUACGUGGAACAAAGAAAGAGAUGUGUUUAACUUCUUUCUUAAAAUUCAAAAAUUGUUGAUAAAAGGGAUCCAACUUCCAUCUACUUUCAUUUUAAACUAUAACUAAGGAUAUAGUUUUUUAUUUGAACUACAAUAUUGCAAUAUUUCAUUUUUUUAUUGUUAUAGCUAGUCAUAGUAAUAAUUUGACAUUUUUUUAAAAAAAAAUUAAGCUUAUAAACAUCAAAUUAUGCCAAAUUUUAAAACUAUAAAAAGUUGAGAUUUCUUUUCCUAAUUGUAAAAAUUAAAUGGUUAUUAAAUGAACCUAAAUCAUUUAUAGCAAUAUAACAUAGUUUCAACAAUAAUAUACAUUAUUUUUUGCCUAGCAUCAAAUUAUUUAGAUAACUUUAUUGGAAAGUAUCUAGAUUUGUAAGCACAUAUCAAAAUCGUACGUAUCCCAUUGCACUUUUUACAAACAGACAAAUGGCAAAUGCAUGCAUGCUCAUGAUAUUUUCUAAAAGUGAAUUUUUUGAGUUAAAAGCAAACAUAUUUGAUGAAUCGUUUGGAAUUUCAUUUCAAAUCACCAAACUUCCAACAAUACAUGUGAAUAAUAAUAAUAAUAAUAAUAGAAGAGUGAUACAAGUACCAUUUUUAAGUUUAAAGUGUCAUUUGAUGAAAUCUAGAGUUAAUGGCUGACAAAAUUCUGCACAUUUGUUGGGCCCGCAUAAUGAUAUGAGACCUGUCGAUAUUAAGAUCCAAUCAAGGCCCAUCAUUUUAUUUACUCAUAUUAAUGCACUAGGCCCCCAUUUCAUGGAUCGCUGAAGUCCAAAAUGCAAGGCCCAUAGGCCCAUAUGCCCAUAUGCCCAUGGAUGAAGUCGAGAUUGAUAUAAAUAUCAUAAUAUAAGUUUUAUAAUUGAUUUCACUCUCACCCAUAUUUAUAAUCACUCUUAACAUAUGUUUUUUUUUCGUUGAAAAUUAUUUUAAUAUAUAAUUUUUAUACUUUUACAUGCAAUUUUUAUAUUAUCCAAAAAGUAUGCUUAAAAGUAAUUUUUUCAUUUAAGAUCACUUUCAAAAGUGCUCAAUCUUUCGAAGCAAAAUUUGAUAAUAUAAAAAUUGCCUUUAAAAAUAUAAAAUUGUAUAUUAAAUCAAUAAUUAAAGAUAUAUUUUAGUGUGAUAAUAAAUAUGACCCAAUUGAUUUCAACUAAAUCACUCUCAAACCUUUACUCUUAAAAUUAAUUUUCUAUUAUCAUUUUUGGUUCCAAAAGUUAAUUUAAAGUUAUCUGAUUAAUAAUUACAAUUUCUAUUUAAGAAAUAAUUAUUUAACUAAAUAAGGAUGGUAAAUAUCCGUUUCUAUUUAUUUUAUUAUUAAAUGGUUUGAUAUAUGUAUAGAGAUUUAAAAAAAACUCAAAGCACGUAUAAUUGUUUGUUUUAUUAAAAAUUUGUUGACACUCUCAUCUUUUGUUUCAACCAUUUUGUGAGUAAUUUUUGGUAGAUAACUAAACAAAAAUCAUUUAUCACAUGAUUUCUCCAAAAUCAAUUUGAAAUAUUUUCGUACUUUUUAAAAAUCAAUUUUAGUUCACGUAUAAUCAUGUGUGUUAUGGAAAUUUUGAAACACAUGCUAAGACGAAUUUUUAAAGAAAUUUCAGUCCCAACAUGAUUAAAAAUAAAUAAACUCCCUUUUUAGCAAUUGGGUUAUUUUAAAAUCACUUUGAAGAAAUUUGUUGUGAAACCAACGACUCCAAUUAAAGCUUCCAAAAAUACAUAUUAAAAUUGUAUGUAUAAAAGUGAUUUUAAUAAAGGCAAAAGUGAUGUUAUUUUAAAAUAACUUCCAAACAAUAUGUGGUUAACCGAAUUACAUUUCCAAACAAAUACCCUACUGCUAAUACUUAACAAACUACAAAUCCAACCCAUAAAAUAAAAUUCCUUCAUUCAUUGUUUUCCUAAAAUAACAUUCACUCAAGCAUGUAAAUAAAUACAAAGCUACUUAAAUACAACUAACAACUUACAUUUACAAACAUCCCUUUCAAACCUGGGUACUAGAGCGGGUAAUGUUUUAAUGGAGAUAGCCAAAGAAGGAAGUUCAACUACUAGACCUUCAAUAUUGGACGAUAAAAAUUAUUCAUAUUGGAGAACACGUAUGACAUCAUUCCUCAAGUCUCCAUAAGGCAGAAGAGCUGUUAAAGCUGAAUGGACACCACUAAUGGUUUGUAAAUGGAAAGUUUGUUCCAAAAUUUGAAGAAACCUGGAUGGAUGAAGAAGGCAAGAGUCAAUGGGAAACUCUCGGGCACUCAAUAGCAUACAUAAUGGGGUAGAUCUGAAUGUGUUCAAAUUAAUAAACACAUGUGUUACAGUAAAAGACGCCUGUAAGGCCCUUGAGGUGGCAUUCAAGGGUACUUCUAAAGUGAAAUCUCUCGUCUUCUAUUGUUAACUUCUAAGUUUGAAUCGUUAUGAGUGUUGGAAGAAGAAACUAUAUCUGAAUACAAUGCAAGGGUUCUGGAAAUUGCUAAUGAUUUGUUCAAUCUUGGUGAAUGAAUUCCAGAGUCUAGACUUGUUAGAAAAGUUUUGCGAUCUUUACCCACAAGAUUUGACAUGAAAGUAACAGCUAUUGAAGAAGCUUAAGACAUUACUACAUUGUCUCUUGAUGAAUUAAUCGGGUCUCUUCUUUACAUAUGAAAUCACUAUACUUAGUAGAGAAGAAGGUAUAGGAAAGGUAUAGCUUUCCAAUUUAUGCAUGAUGAUGAUUCUGUUGAAGAAGAAAAAUCAUCAAAUGAUCACGUAAAUGAGUCAAUUGCUAUGUUGACAAAACAGUUCUCGAAUGUCAUUAGAAAAUUUUAAAAACUUAAUAGCUAUGGGCAGGCUAGCCGUGAACAUAAUCAGUUUAGAAGAAGAGAUUCUGAUUGAUGAAAUAACAUAGACACAAAAUUCUUUAAAUGUAGAGAGUGUAGAGGUCAUGGACACUAUCAGGUUGAGUGUCAAACGUAUCUAAGAAGAAAAAAGAAAAGUUUUGGUACCACUUUAUCUGAUGAACACGAAGAAGAAUAUACAAAUGCAUUUAUCAAUUCGAUCUCCAAAGAUGAGUUUGUAUCUGAGAACGAAGAGCUCGAUGACCAACUGAAUGAGAAUAUAUCUUAUAAAAAAUUACAACAGAAGUGGAAAGAAGAUUCAUACGUUCGCACCAUUCGAAAAGAAAAGAUUCAUGAAUUGUUGGGAGAGAAUGAAAGAUUGUUGACUAUCAUAUCGACCUUAAAGCAAAAGUUGAAGGAAGCUUAAGCAGAACAUGAAUAGUUGUCGAAAUCUGUAAAAAUGUUAAAUUCUGAAACAGACUGUUUAGAUCAAAUCUUGUCCUUAGGAAAAAAUGAUAUCACUAAGCAAGGACUUGGUUACAAGAUUUGUUCCUACACAAGAGAAAGUUGAAGGAGGUAAGUCAUGUACUCCUGCAUGGCAGAAAGUCUCAAAUACGUCGAAGGGGUGGAUAUGCCAUUUUUGUGGAAAACGAUGACAUAUUAGACCUUUUUGCUACAAAAUGAUAAGUCAUAAUGUCUAUAAUCCGAAAAUGAUGGUAAAUCAAGAUUGAGUUAUCCAAGUCAAAUGAUAAAAAAAAAAGCAUGAAGAAAGUAUGGAGAGUAAAACAUACAUCUGAGCAGAGUAAUAUAGCAUUUACUUCGAUUCAAGUAUCAAGUGAAAACUGGUUCUUUGACAGUGGUUGUUCAAGACAUAUGACAGGUAAUCGGGCUUAUUUUUCCAACCUAAGUGAAUGUUCUUGAGGAUAUGUAACUUUUGGUGAUGGAGCAAAAGGUCGAAUUUUAGCAAAAGGAAACAUUAUUGGGAAGACAUCUUCCUCGUCUUGAUGAUAUAAGAUUUGUUGAAGGACUUACUGCUAAUCUUAUUACUAUAAGUCAAUUAUGUGAUUAAGGGUAUGUGGUAAAUUUUUGUAAGGAAAAUUGUAGUAUAACUGAUAGAGAUAAUGUUGAGAUCAUGAGAGGUGUACGACAACUUGAUAACUGCUACCAUUUGUUCAAACCGAACUGAGACCUACCAUCUAACAAAGAAAGAACAGACAUUACAGUGGUAUAAGAAACUUGGACAUGUGAGUCUAGGAAAAAUUAGCAAAGCCCUGAAACAUGAUGCUAUAUUGGGAUUGCCAAGUCUUAAUGUAAAUAUGCAAAUGUUCUGUAAAGAUUGUCAAUGAGGAAAGCAAAUUAGAAAAUCUCAUAAACUUGUCGGUGAAUGUUAUACAUCAAGAGUUCUUGAACUUCUUCACACGGAUCUUAUGGGCCCCAUGUAAACCGAAAGUCUAGGUAGAAAGAAGUAUAUCUUUGUGUGUGUCGAUGGUUACUCACGCUUCACCUGUGUAAGGUUCCUCAUAAACAAAUCAGAGACUCUUAAGAUAUGUAUUGUUUUAUGCAAAAAUCUACAAUGUGAGCAAGGGAUGAAUAUUUGGAGAAUUCGAAGUGAUCACGAAAAAAAGUUUGAGAAUAAAUAGUUUAACUCUUUAUGUGAAAUUGAAGGCAUUCGACAUGAAUACUCGGCUCCUCUCACCCCGCAACAGAAUGGGGUGGUAGAAAGAAAGAAUUGCACACUUCAAGAAAUGGCCAGAGUUAUACUUCAUGCCAAGAAUCUCUCAUUACAAUUCUGAGCUGAGGUUAUGCACAUAGCCUGUCAUAUUCACAACCGAGUGACAAUCAGGAUUGACACGUCUGCAACAUUGUAUGAAAUAUGGAAAGGUAAGAACUCUUAUGUUAAAUACUUCCAUAUUUUUUGGAGUGUGUGUUAUAUUCUUGCAGAUCGGGAAUAUCAUAGAAAAUUGGAUGUCAAGUUCGAUAAGAGACUCUUCUUAGGCUAUUCUCCAAAUAGUCGUGCAUUCAUAGUGUUUAACUAGAACUCAGUCUGUCAUAGGGUCUGUAAAUAUUGUGGUCAACAAUGAUGAAAAAGUGUCUCACAUAAUUCAAGAUGAUGAUGAUGAUGUGAUCACAUCAAGUGUAGAGAAAGUUGUUGAAAGGAUGUUGUUACGACAUCGGUUAAUCUUGACAGUACUGAGGGUAAUAGCUUUGAGUCUGACCUAAGUACUACUAAUGUCAAGCCUGAAAAUACUACACCUGCUAAACACUUUGUACCUUCCACUCAUGUGGUAAAGAAUCAUCAUACGACCGGUAUCUUCAUAGCGGCAUCACCACCAAAAAGAAAGAUCGCAUAGAUUAUGUCAAGCUAAUUGCAGAUCUUUGUUAUACAUCACCCAUAGAACUUGUUUCAGUUUCAGAGGCUCUUAAAGAUGAGUUCUGGAUUCCGGUCAUGUAAGAAGAACUUCUUCAGUUUCAAAGAAAUAAUGUCUGGUCUUUGGUGCCUAAACCUGAUAAUGUGAAUGUUAUUUGGCACUAAAUGGAUUUUUAAAAAUAAGACAGACGAACAAGGAUGUGUCACUCGAAACAAGGUUCGAUUGGUCGCUCAAGGUUAUGUUGAAGUUGAAAGGGUGGAUUUUGAUGAGACGUUUGCACCAGUAGCCAGAUUGGAAGCUAUUCGCUUGUCGCGACGUGAUCGCUACGCGGAGCGGCCGACCUCCCCGUUUAUUUAAUUUUAAUAAAUAGUUUUGGAGUCGCCACCAACCAUAUUAGGGUGCGAUUGGUCACCCAAAAAAAAGAAAAAAAAAUGGUUUGCGUGUACAUUCAGAGAUUUAAGUUCGGGAGUCAGUUGUGUGUAGGGAAGGUGUUAGCACCCUACAACACCCAAAAAAAUGGUUACCCAAUUUUAUCUUUUAAAUUAAAUUAUAGAGGUUUACAAAAUAAAGUUUUUAUUUAGGUUUUGUUUAAAUGUCUCAUGUUUAUUAAUUCAUAUCGAAGAAAGUAAAACCUAAGCAUGAAUUGAUGAUUAUGAGUGGCAUAGGAGCCAUUAGAAAAAUUAAGUUUAUUUUUGUUUUAAAAGAUUUUUAUUCACCUUAAGAAUAUUAAGAUACCAAAACUUGAUAUUUUAAUCUCUAUCAUAGGUGUUUAAUGAGAAAUUUCAUGUACCUAUAAUGAAAACACUACUCAGUCUCAUUUAAAAUAUGAAAUAUGUUUAUUUAAAAACAAUCUAUUAAUUAAAUUUCAUGUAUUCAUGGAAUUUAAAUUAUAAAAUCCAUAAAAAAACAGUACUUUUCUCCAAUUUACAUUUUUAUAUUUAAAUUGAAAAAUAAAUAAUAACAAUGAGCAAAACAUUAUGAAAUUUGAAAAAUACUUAAAGGGUAAUAUGUUGAGAUAAAAUAAAUGCAUAAAACAAAUACAUGAUAAUGUAAGCAAUAUGCAAAAUGUAAAAGAUGAUUAAUUAAUACAGCACAAGCAAGAUAAUUAAUUAAUUCAGAAUGAUACAAAAUAAUUAAUUAUUCAAAAGGAUACAAAAUAAUUAAUUCAUGCAUAAAGGUGAAAAAUAAUUAAUUAAUGCAGAAACAGAAAUAAGCAAAAUAAAUAAUUAAUUCAGAAAUAUGCAAAAUAAUUGAUUAAUUCAAAAAUAUGAAAAAUAAUUAAUUAAUUCAGAAAUAUGCAAAAUAAUUAAACGAGGAUGUCAAAUGGGUGUCAAAUGGGUGAAAUAAUAAUUAACUGUAGAAUGCCAAAGUAGGAUUUAUGCAAGAUGCCAAUAAAUAAUCACAUUAGCCAAUGAAUGUCAAAUAAUUUUAGCAAUAUGCAUGCUGAUUAAUUAAUUAAUACAUAAUACAAAUAAUUCGAAUGAGUAAUUGACAUAAGAGGCCAAAUGAGUGCCAAAAUAAUUAACGAUAUGCAAAUAAUUAGCUCACAAUGGAGGAUGCCAAAAAUUAAAAGUGUCAAAUACAUUGUGCUAAUUAAUUAACAAUGCAUAAUUAAGAGAGCUUGUCAAAUGAAUAGUUAUUUUCAAAUGCAUAAUUAACACAUAUGCCAAAUGGAUAAUUAUUAAAGCAAGAUACCAAAUGGAUACACACAACAAUUAACGCAUAAUGUAAAAUGGGUGCCUAGAUAAUUAAAAAGAUAGCAAAUAAUUAAAUCAGUAUGCCAAAUAGGUGUCAAAUAAGUGUUAAAUAAUUAAGACAUCAAUCAAAUAAUUAACGCAUCAUUUAAUUAAUUAACCAAAUGAAAUAAUUAACAUAGCACCCAAAUUGAUGCCAAAUAAUUAAUCCAGAACACACUGAUUAAUUAAGGCAGUAGCCAAAUAGAUGCAAAACAACUAAUUAAUGAGCGCAACAAUCAAAAUAGUCAAAUGAGUGUCAAAUUAAUUAGCAUGAGAAUUCAGUAAUCAAAAUAAUCAAAUAGCCAAAUAGAGCAGAAAUAAGAUGCAAAACACUAAUUAAUUAGGGCAUCAAUCAAAGAGUCAAAUGGGUGCCAAAUGAUUCAAAUGGGUGCCAAAUAAUUAAGCCAGUGUCAUCAAAUAUGAAUAACAAAAAAAGAACUUACAAGGUCUACGUUAAAUGCAAAAUGUUCUGAGUUGAUCCUCUUCACCUUUUUCCAAAAAAAUUCUUUUACGUGUCCCUCUUCUCUAUCAAAUAAUCCUCCUCGCAAAAGAAAUUCCCUCUAUUGAAUCUUCUCAUUCUCUUUUUAUAGGAAAAUGUCUCAUUUUUUAGAUAGAAGUGGAGUAGAUUUAGAUAGUGAAAUGGAGUACAGCAGAGAAAUGGGGAAAAUGUGGAAGAGUGGGAGAACGUGAGAGAUUGGGGAAGAAGGUGGAAGAGUGGGAGAACGUGAGAGAUUGAGAGAAAGUGUGAGGGUUGUGACUCACGAAAACAGGGGAUGGUUGAGAAAAAUAGGGAGAAGGAAAAACAAUCUUUACUUUUAAUUUUAAUUUUAAAUAUGUUUUUAUUUUUGUUUUUGUUUUAAAAUAUAAAUUUAAAAAUUAAGAUUUAAAUUUUAGAAUUUAAAUUUAAAUUCACAUUCAAAUUCUUUUUAAAAAAUAAUAAAUAAUUAAUGAAAAAAAUAAAAAGGCAGGACAAAAUACGGUAUCUACACGCUUAUUGCUCAGCAUCGCAUGUCUUCAGAAAAUUAAGUUGUUCCAGAUGGAUGUUAAAAGUGCAUUUUUAAAUGGGUACUUGUCUGAGGAAGUUUAUGUUUGACAACCUAAAUUAUUGAUCCAGUGUUUUCUCAACAUGUGUACAAACUUGAUAAGGCUCUUUAUGGUCUUAAACAGGCACCUAGAGCCUGGUAUUAACGUCUGUCUGUUUUCUUAUGUCAACAGGGAUAUGUGCGAGGAGGAACUGAUGAAACGUUGUUUAUUUAUCGAAGAGAUAAAGACAUUAUUGUGGCUUAGAUUUAUGUUGAUGAUAUAUUUUUUGGUGGAUUUCCUGAUGAUAACUUGAGUAGUUUUGUUCAUAUUAUGCAAUCCGAAUUCAAAAUGAGCAUGGUAGGGGAAUUAUCUUUUUUUCUUGAACUUCAAAUCAAGCAAGGUCAUGCUAGAAUUUUUAUCUCAUAGGAAACAUAUACUAAGAAUAUUGUGAAGAAGUUUGGUCUUGAGAUCUCUCAAUCCAAAAGAACUCUAGCAUCUACACAUAGUAAGUUAACUAAAAACUGUGAGGCCAUCUCGGUCAAUCACAGUGUUUAUCAGAGUAUGAUUGGAAGUCUCCUUUAUUUAACAGCGAGUCAACCUAAUACAGUUUAUGCUAUUAGAGUUUGUGCUUGCUAUCAGUUUGAUCCUCGUGCGUCUCAUCUUAUGGCAGCCAAGCGAAUUCUGAAAUAUGUUAGUGGGACGUCCAACUUUGGUAUCCAUUAUUUGUUUGAUACUACUUCCUCUCUUGUGGGAUAUUGUGAUGUGGAUUGGACUGGAUGUACAGAUGAUAGAAAGUCUACGUCAGGUGGUUGUUUCUUCUUAGGAAACAACUUAGUCUCAUGGUUCAACAAGAAACAACAUUCUGUUUCUUUGUCAACAACCGAGGUAUAAUAUAUUGCUACUGGUAGUGCGUGCUCCCAACUUGUUUGGAUGAAACAGAUGAUGGGUGAAUAUGAGUUCUCACAUGAUAUUAUGCUCUUUUACUGUGAUAAUAUGAGUGCUAUAGAGAUCUCUAAAUAUCCAGUUAUACACAACAGGACAAAGCAUAUUGAUAUUCUUCAUCACUUUAUUUGUGCUCUUGUUGAAGAUAAAACUAUUGCUAUUAUUCGUGAUCGGGUCUUCAAUUGGUUGAUAUCUUUACCAAACCCCUUGAUGUUUCUUCUUUUGAGCAUUUGUGAGCCGAGUUGGGUGUGUGUACCAUUUAAUUCCUGAAUAUAUUGGUCUUUGGAGGUCAAGCUUAGUUUACUCGGUCCAUGGUUGGUUUGGCUACUUUUAAACUAUUGUGGAUUAGCGCGCUUUUUGUUUGGCUCUUCAUACUCGACAUUUUCGAUCUCUUUGUACUCAAGAAUUUCUCAUCUUCUUGAGAUCCUCACGUUUCAAGAAUUGCUUUCAUUAUGUCUGUGUUGAUUUUUCCUUUUUUUUUUUUUUGCAAUGGUUCAUACUCGUCAAGCAUAUUAUCCCAUCCUAUUAGUUCGGAUAGUUAUGAAUUACUUAGCAAUGUGUGCCCUAAUACCUUUAAAAAAAUAUUUCAACAAAACGAAAUAAUAUAAUUGGAUUUGAAAUUUCCAAAAAAAAUUAUGAGGCCUAAAAUAUCACAUUUAAAAAAGAUAAUAAAGUUCUCCAAUCCCAACUACUACCACUUUUUGUGUCAUCCAUCAAACUUUUCACAUGUCAAAAUCACAACCAUACUUGGCAAUACACAGAUCUGUCUUCUCUGCUAAGAAGGUGAUGCCAUUUGCGAUGACAUUUCCCCCAUUAACACCACUUUUCCUUUCGCAAAGCAACCCAUGAAUUAAUUACCCCUUUUGUUAUUACCUUCCACUUCAUUUUUUGGCUUUCCAAAUCAAUGAUCUGUUAACAAAAUCUCUUCCCUCUCUCACAACCCAACACAACACUCCACUUUUUCUACAAUGGAUUCCUCUGUUCAUCUAUAAUUAUAUAAUUGCUUUCUCAGAGCCCUCGCAUCAAACAUAUUAAAAUCACUUUUUUUUUCCUUUUCAGAAAACGUUUAACUUUUUUCCAUGGAAAAUGAUCCUCAUCUGUGUACUGUGUCAUGAGCAGAAAUGAGAAGGCCUCAAGUAUUAAUGAGAUGUAUGGGUUUUCUCAAAAUCAUCCAAAGAUUUUUACGUCAUUUUCUCUCUUUGUUUUUCUCGGGAAAAUACAGCUAUCGUACCACUGUUCUUAAUUAUAUUGUUUAGUCGGUGAAGGAAAAAAAGUGAAACGAAUCUCAUCCUUUCUUCCUCUCUUUGUUUCCUCUUCUAGACCUUCUACUUUUCAAAAAUACAUAGAUAGAUGUUCAAAGUCUUCUCCAGGAUAUCACGUUAAGAAAUUUUGUACAGAGAUUUUCCAUUUUUGCAAUGUACACAUUUGUUGCUUUUUCAUCCAAUAAGUCUUGAUGUUCAUUUAUCUUUUGUUAUGUUCUAAAUUUUGUAUUUAAUUCCUAACAGUGGGUGUUGGGACUUUUAAUUUUGAUACAAUUCUAAACACUAAACUUCUCAAUUUUAUACUCUUUAAGAAAUAUGGAAUUUUGGUUGUAUUUUUAGGGAAAUGACAUGAAAAGUUGUUGGAAGUAAUAAGAAAGAGCACAUAGAGAAGUAAAUAAAUACCACACCAUAUUUGAUUUGUUAUCAAGUAAUAAACAUAGUAAAGUAGGAUGGACUAUUUAUAUACAAAUAAUUUUCAAAAGUUUGUUACACACAAACUCUCAUUGUUUGAAAUAGGUUAUUCUAUAUCAGUCCACCAACCAUGAAAGAUGGAAAGAGCAAUCAGGUGAAAUUUCUAUUAAAGAAAAGUUAUUUAAUUAAAAUAUCUUAGUAAUAAAGGAUCUAUACCAAUCCUGUUGAGAAAACAGAAAUUUGUUAGUAUCCAUUGAAGGGAGAGGAGAUAGAAAAGAAUGGAAUGAGAAAGAGAGGGGAGAGGGGAGAGGGGGCGGGCCCGUGAAGUCAGAAGAAGAGAGAGGGGUUUAACGUUUAAGUGUCAGUUUCGGGGCCCCGAAUCAUGACCCAAAAACCAAACAAACAUACCCUUUUUUGAGAACUAGAGAGGGGGACCCAUUUUUCCAAAUAUUUUCUAACCAAUAUACACAAUUAUCUCAUUUAAUUAUAUUACUUCACAACAACAGUUUCAAAUUCAACAAAUGCUUUGAUCUCCUUAAUUAGAUUUUAAUGAAAAUAUACUCUCACAAACAAAAUGCAUCAGAAAGAAAGUUAAUUCAUUAAAGCAAGGGUCUUGUUAGAAUUGAUUGGGGUUUAACUCCUCAAAUUUUUGAGUUGGAAUUGUUAUAAUAUUGGUAGAGAAGUAGUGAAAUGAAAAUUAAAUGAAAUAUAAUUUUGAACCAACCUCCAUUUGGUAGGUGGAGUUGGGAGUUAAUUAAAUGAGAAUUCAUCGCUCAUUUCUAAAUAAAAUAGAAAAUAAAUGAAGUAGGCUAAUAAAUAAGGACAAAAGCUACAUAGACUCUCAAUGCCUAACCAUACAAACAUCUCUCUCAAUCACCUAAAAACUUCAAAAUUAUUUGUACCCAUUUUAUGACAAUUAAAUGUCUUUUUUUCCUUCUUUCUCCCAAUUUCUUAAUUAAUUAAAACAUUUUUAUUUCUUUUUAUCUUUGUACCAACCAUCAUUUAUAACUCUCUUUUCCCUACUAUAUUUUUAUUAGCCUACUGGUUUCAUUUCAAUGUAUCUAUUUUUAGUAGAAAAGUAGUCUCUCAUCGCAAUAUAUUUACAAGUAUUAUGAAAAUACUCAAAACUACAUUUCGAAUACAAUUUUUUUAUAAAGAAGUUUAGAUCAACGUAUGGGUUGGAUUAAGAUUUAAUAUUCUAACAUUGUGCUCCAAGGGCAAUAUUACAACUUUUUUAAAAGAAGAAGAGUGUUUUUAAAACAAACGACAAAAUUAAGAGAGAACGUUCAUAAUUUAACCAAAAGAAAAAUAAAUCUUCAAGAAGAAAAUGGUAUGAUUUAGACGUUAAUAUACAAUUAGAAGAAGGCAUAGUUCAUUUAUAAGAAAUGUGAAGAUGGUAAACGAGAGAAUAAGGUCAGGAAAAAAGAUUGCAUAUUCCAAAUCAAACAUACAUGUUUGCUUGUUUAAGUUGAGUUGAGUAAAUGUAUGAGACAAUUCAAAAGGGGCCCCAAAUUGCUUUUGGAAGUGUCACCCUCUAGGCCACUAAUUAUUGAAGUUGAUUCAAAAUAGGUUUUCCACCUAAGUACAAAAGGGAAGAAUGGGUGAAUAAUGAAAAGGUAGAUUCAAGUAUUGAAAUGACAAAAGCUAAACUUGGUAGCCCAUGCAUAAAUGUCCUAACAAGUUUGGUUUAGAAAAAUAUGGAAGGAAAAGGGUUGUGAAAAAGUCAAGCAUAUAUUAUCUUAUUUGAGUGAAGAAGAAAAAAAUUAAUUGAAAAAAAAAAAGAAACACCAAUUGUCUUUAUUUUCAUAUUUGAGAUUUUGUUUUGUUGUUUAGUGCCAAAAGAAAAGAAAAAAGGACAAUGAAAACAGUAAAUGUAAGCCUAUUAUUGCAUAUUUUCUUUGAUGAAACCCCAAUCCAUGCAUCAUAGAUGUUAAUGUGCAUACAAUUGAGCCCUCUUUUUGGUAUACCCCACUCCAUCAAAAAGGGAACACAAACCAAUUAAUUUUAAUCUAACCUUUUUCUUUUAACUAAAGGAAAAGGCAUUUAAUUAAUUAAGGAUAUAUGUUUACUAUUAAUAAUUAAUAAAAAUAUUAACACGUAAUUCUUCUAAAAUAAAUUACAAUAUUUACAAUUUUGUUUGAAAUAUUUGUUAUAAAGUUGAUUAUUAUUCAUAAAAUUGCUUACAUAUUUGGAUUUAUAAAUUAAAAAAUAAAAAAAAAAUCAAGAAAGAAUAAGUGACGCAAUGAAAAAAAGAAAGGGUAAUAAAAGGGGAGGAGAGGACUAAGAAACCUAAAACCCACAAACACAAGUUUUAUAGGUGAAAAAAUAAUUGUCACUCUCAGUUCUCUUUUGACCAAUAUGGAUUCCUUUUCACAAUAAUUUGCCAAAAAAGAUUAGAAUAAAUGCAACAUAGGGAAAAAGUAUAGACCCAUAUAGGAAUAAGGUAUUAAGCUUUGAAAUCACAACCAACAAUGGUGGGAAGAUUUCCAAAACCCACAAACCCAAAAAGAAAACACAAAAACAAAAAAAGUUUUCAUUUUUAUUCCCUAUUCCACAAUACAAAAAACACACUAACACUUCAAUUUUAUUCAUAACUAUGAGUAAAGAAUAAAGAAAAAAGGAAACUAGGAAGUGACAAAAAGAAGACUUUGUUUUUCUUUCUUCAAAAGCUUCAAAUUUUAACACUUAAUUACACUCUUUUUUUUUUUUUUUUUUUUAAAUAUAUUUAGGACUCGGAGGACUUUAUAAUAAAUACCCAAAAGUAAUAUGAAGAAAUUUGAAGGGUCUCAAGGUGAAGAAAAACAGAAUUGCCGUUAUCAUACCAUCCUUCAAGUCACGUGAGCUGCGCCUCCUUUCUGACAAACCUUCUUUUGCCAUAGUCCUUCCAUUGCAUUAUAGCUAUGCCGAAUGGCGCCUAACCUCCUCCUCCUCCUCUUCUUCUUCUUCUUCUUCUUCUUUUCUUCUUCUUCUUCUCUUUGUUUAGUUUCUCUCUCUGCAACACCCAUGGAGGUUAAGCUUUCCCAUCUUCAUUCUUUUGCAGUUGGGUUUUAGAAUAUUGAGAUAUAUAUUAUGGUUUUUCUUAUGGGUAUGGAGUUGAAACGCUUCUUUUUUAUUUUCAUCAUCUGCUUCGACCUCUGCAUUUUGAGUUCCAAUGGCGCUACACUCCAGAAUGAGAUUAUUAUCGAGAGAGAAAGCUUGGUUUCUUUCAAAGCUUCGUUGGAGACCUCUGAAAUUCUGCCAUGGAACUCAUCGGUUCCUCACUGCUUUUGGGUCGGAGUUUCUUGUCGACUCGGUCGAGUUACAGAGCUCUCUCUUUCGUCUCUUUCACUCAAAGGCCAACUAUCUCGGUCCCUUUUCGAUCUUUUGAGCCUCUCUGUUCUUGACCUUUCAAACAACUUACUCUAUGGCUCAAUACCACCUCAGAUAUAUAAUCUUCGGAGCCUGAAGGUUCUCGCUCUCGGUGAAAAUCAGUUUUCCGGCGACUUCCCUAUCGAGCUCACUGAGUUGACUCAACUGGAGAAUCUCAAGUUGGGGGCUAAUUUAUUCUCAGGUAAAAUCCCGCCGGAGCUUGGAAAUUUGAAGCAGUUACGGACCCUUGACCUCUCCAGCAAUGCCUUCGUCGGAAAUGUUCCGCCCCACAUCGGAAACUUGACGAAGAUUUUAUCCUUGGACCUCGGCAACAAUCUUUUAUCAGGUUCACUCCCAUUGACCAUCUUUACUGAGCUUACAUCUUUAACUUCUCUAGACAUUUCAAACAACUCCUUUUCGGGUUCAAUCCCACCUGAAAUUGGUAAUCUAAAGCAUUUGGCUGGCCUUUAUAUCGGCAUUAACCAUUUUUCCGGUGAGUUGCCUCCUGAAGUUGGUAACCUUGUAUUGCUGGAGAACUUUUUUUCGCCGUCUUGUUCUCUAACUGGUCCAUUGCCUGAUGAACUAUCCAAGCUGAAAUCAUUGAGCAAACUGGAUCUUUCAUACAACCCACUUGGGUGUUCAAUCCCGAAAACGAUUGGUGAAUUGCAGAACUUGACUAUAUUGAAUUUGGUUUACACUGAGCUUAAUGGUUCUAUACCUGCUGAGCUUGGGAGGUGUAGAAAUUUGAAAACAUUGAUGCUUUCGUUCAACUAUCUAUCUGGGGUGUUGCCACCAGAGCUUUCCGAGCUUUCCAUGUUGACAUUUUCCGCUGAGAGGAAUCAGCUUUCUGGGCCAUUACCUUCUUGGUUUGGCAAAUGGGAUCAUGUCGAUUCUAUUUUACUUUCGAGUAAUCGAUUUACUGGCGGAAUCCCACCUGAGAUUGGAAAUUGUUCGAAGCUUAAUCACCUUAGUUUGAGCAAUAACUUGUUGACAGGUCCAAUACCUAAAGAAAUAUGUAAUGCUGCAUCCUUGAUGGAGAUUGAUCUUGACAGUAAUUUCCUUUCGGGUACUAUUGAUGACACAUUUGUGACGUGUAAAAACCUUACACAGUUGGUUUUGGUAGACAAUCAGAUCGUUGGUGCAAUACCGGAGUACUUCUCAGACCUUCCCCUACUGGUUAUCAACCUUGACGCCAACAAUUUUACAGGUUAUUUACCAACAAGUAUAUGGAACUCAGUGGAUUUGAUGGAAUUUUCCGCUGCAAAUAACCAGUUAGAGGGUCAUCUCCCUCCAGAAAUUGGUUAUGCAGCUUCCCUUGAGAGGCUUGUCCUCAGCAACAACAGGUUGACAGGCAUAAUACCAGAUGAAAUUGGAAAUCUCACAGCCCUUUCUGUUCUAAAUUUGAAUUCAAAUCUGCUCGAAGGAACUAUUCCUGCCAUGCUUGGAGAUUGCAGUGCACUUACCACAUUAGACCUUGGAAACAACAGUUUAAACGGAUCGAUUCCAGAAAAACUUGCAGACCUUUCUGAAUUACAGUGCUUAGUUCUUUCGCACAACAAUUUAUCUGGAGCAAUACCAUCCAAGCCAUCAGCUUAUUUUCGACAGUUGACCAUUCCUGAUUUGAGCUUUGUUCAGCAUCAUGGAGUUUUCGAUCUGUCUCAUAAUAGAUUGUCUGGUACCAUACCUGAUGAACUGGGGAACUGUGUUGUGGUGGUGGAUCUUUUACUCAACAAUAAUCUACUUUCUGGAGCAAUACCUAGUUCUCUCUCUCAGUUAACAAACCUCACAACCUUGGACUUAUCUAGCAAUACGCUUACUGGUCCUAUUCCUGCAGAGAUUGGCAAGGCACUCAAGCUUCAAGGCUUGUAUCUUGGGAAUAAUCGCCUUAUGGGAAUGAUCCCAGAAAGCUUCAGUCAUUUGAAUAGCUUGGUAAAGUUGAACUUAACUGGUAAUAGGUUGUCUGGUUCGGUUCCAAAAACGUUUGGUGGUCUGAAAGCUCUAACUCAUUUGGAUUUAAGUUGUAAUGAGUUGGAUGGUGAUCUUCCUUCUUCUCUGUCCAGCAUGUUGAAUCUUGUCGGGCUUUAUGUACAGGAGAACAGGCUUUCUGGUCAGGUUGUUGAACUUUUCCCAAGUUCCAUGUCAUGGAAGAUUGAAACUUUGAAUUUGAGUGAUAAUUAUUUAGAGGGUGUACUUCCACGAACAUUGGGCAACCUAUCAUACUUGACGACUUUGGAUCUUCAUGGAAAUAAGUUCGCAGGGACAAUCCCUUCAGAUCUUGGGGAUCUUAUGCAACUUGAAUACUUAGAUGUCUCGAACAACAGCCUUUCAGGGGAGAUUCCAGAGAAAAUAUGCAGCCUCGUCAAUAUGUUUUACCUGAAUUUGGCUGAAAAUAGUCUUGAAGGUCCAAUUCCGAGAAGUGGGAUUUGCCAGAAUCUAUCCAAAAGUUCACUUGUCGGUAACAAGGAUCUUUGUGGGAGAAUCCUGGGUUUCAAUUGCCGGAUCAAAAGCUUAGAGAGAUCUGCAGUCUUAAAUUCUUGGAGUGUUGCUGGGAUUAUCAUUGUUAGCGUUCUUAUCGUUCUAACUGUGGCAUUCGCAAUGCGAAGACGGAUCAUUGGAAUCCAGAGAGAUAGUGAUCCAGAGGAAAUGGAGGAAAGCAAAUUAAACAGUUUCAUAGACCCCAAUCUCUAUUUCUUAAGUAGCAGCAGAUCAAAAGAGCCUUUAAGCAUCAAUGUGGCUAUGUUCGAGCAGCCCCUUCUGAAGUUAACUUUGGUUGAUAUCCUGGAAGCGACCAAUAACUUCUGUAAAACUAACAUUAUUGGAGAUGGAGGAUUCGGGACCGUCUACAAGGCAACUUUGCCUGAUGGAAAAGUUGUUGCUGUGAAGAAGCUAAGCGAAGCAAAAACACAAGGGCAUAGAGAAUUUAUUGCUGAAAUGGAAACUAUAGGAAAAGUGAAGCAUCAUAAUCUUGUUCCACUGCUUGGCUACUGUUCUCUUGGGGAGGAGAAGCUCCUUGUGUAUGAGUAUAUGGUGAAUGGUAGCUUAGAUCUUUGGCUGAGAAACCGAACCGGUACUCUCGAAAUCCUCAAUUGGGAGACUCGCUUCAAAGUUGCUUCAGGUGCAGCCCGUGGACUGGCAUUUCUUCACCAUGGAUUCAUUCCCCACAUCAUUCAUAGAGAUGUUAAAGCAAGCAAUAUACUCCUCAACCAAGACUUUGAACCAAAAGUUGCUGACUUUGGAUUAGCAAGAUUGAUCAGUGCUUGUGAAACUCAUGUCACAACUGAGAUUGCUGGAACGUUUGGUUACAUCCCACCGGAGUACGGGCAGAGUGGGAGGUCGACAACAAAAGGUGAUGUGUAUAGCUUUGGUGUGAUUCUACUGGAAUUGGUAACUGGGAAGGAACCAACUGGACCUGACUUUAAAGAGAUUGAGGGUGGAAAUCUAGUUGGUUGGGUGUUUCAGAAGAUCAACAAGGGCCAAGCUGCAGAUGUUCUUGAUGCCACAGUUCUGAAUGCUGACUCAAAGCAUAUGAUGCUUCAAACCCUUCAGAUUGCCUGUGUUUGCUUGUCAGAAAAUCCUGCUAAUAGACCUUCCAUGCUUCAGGUAUUGAAGUUUCUUAAAGGGAUCAAAGAUGAGUAAAUUUUAAUGUUCCAUAGAAUUGGAACUUGGAAGGAUAACGAAAAAAUUGUACUUUGAGUUGAGAAUAACACUGUAAAGAAGUAUUUAGCACUAUAUGAUCAAAAUCCUUCGGUUGUAAUCCAUUUUAUCAACUAAUCUAAUCUAAACUAAUCUAAUCAACUUUGUCACUACUUCUUCAUCAGGCGAGAAAUACAAAUUUUUGACUGACGUGUCUAUUAUUAUUUUUUUGAGUACAACGAAAGAGGAAGAAACUUAAAUCAAUUUUUGGAAUCUGAUCAUGAUAGAUGAUAUUAAUGUAAAUUCUGUAAAUGCAAUUUAUGCAUAAUUUUCCUAAUAUUAUUGUAUAAAUACACUACUUUGAUCAAUAAACAAAGUGAGGGAAUAUUCUUCAGCAUAUCCUUCAACAUGGUAUCAGAGCUAGGGUUUUCAGACUCCAUCUCAAUCGCCGCCGCCAACCACCCGUGAAAGUCUCCAUCCCGCAUCCUCAUCGCGCCUCGUAGACGUCUCGAACCGUUUCCGUCAUCCUCAUCGCGCCUCGCAGCCGUUCCGUCAUCGUCAUCCUCAUCGCGCCUCGCGCCUCGCAGACAGCUCCGAUCUGUCUCUAGCCAUUCCACCACAGCAUCGACGUGGCGCGCCUCGCAGACAGCUCCGAUCUGUCUCUAGCCAUUCCACCACAGCAUCGGCGUCGCGCCGAUUAGUCGCAGCCUCGGCAUCGAAGGUGUCCAUUUCCGCUCCGAUCCGUCUCCAUCCGCGAAGCACCAGUCUUCCUCUGUCGUUCCAAGCCGCACGCGACUACGCCGCUCCGAUCUGUCUCCAAUCUACGCCGCUCCGAUCCGUCUCCAUCCGCGAAGCACCAGUCUUCCUCUGUCGUUCCAAGCCGCACGCGACUUCUCUUCCAGCCGUGAGUGCAAGACGACGUCUACCGUCCGACGCCGCCCACCAGAUCUGACGAAUCCUUCAGCCGUUUGUCUUCAGAUCUGACGAAUCUUUCAGCCGUUUGUCUUCAAGUUUUUUUUGUCUCCGUUCCCAGCCGUGCACCCCUGAAUCCAGUCGCCGCAACCCAGCCGUGCACCCCUGAAUCCAGUCGCCGCAACCCAGCCGUGAAACCCUGAAUCAGUCGCCGCGACCCAGCUGUGAAGACGCUCACCUGUCACGAAUCCCAGUCUUGCAAAGCAAAUCUCAGCCGCCAAAUACAGUGAAACCCAGAUCUGACGAAUCCAGUCACGAAUCAGUCAAAACUCGGCGAAAAUCCGCAUUGUUAACCCAAAUCAAAAUGGAGAGAGACCAUAUCUUUAGACCCAUUUCUACAAUACUUGAUGGUACAAAUUAUAUCACAUGGGCAAAUCAAAUGAAAAGUUUUCUUAUUGGAAGAAAACUAUGGCGCAUUGUAACUGGCGACAUCACCAAACCAACUGCAAAGGAAGGGGAUAACACAUUCAUUGAACGUCUCGAAGAUUGGGACAGUAAAAAUCAUCAAAUUAUCACCUGGCUUGGUAACACCUCUAUUCCCGCUAUACAUGCACAGUUUGAUGCCUUUGAUGAUGCUAAAAUAUUAUGGGAUUUUUUGUCUACACGCUUCAAGUCUAUUGGUUUAGCCCAUUAUUACCAACUGCACAGUACACUUGUAAAUCUAAAUCAAGAUUUGGUCAGUCUGUUAAUGAAUAUUUGGCAGUUCUUCAACCCAUUUGGACUCAACUUGACCAAGCGAACAUCAGCAAAGAUCAUCUUCGCCUUAUUAAAGUCCUUAUGGGAUUACGUCCAGAAUAUGAAUCUGUUAGAGCUGCUUUACUACACCGGAAUCCCUUACCCUCAUUAGAUGCAGCUAUUCAAGAAAUUCUGUUUGAAGAAAAGCGUCUUGGCAUCAACUCUACUAAACAAUCUGAUGUUGUCCUUGCUAGCACAUACACUCCCAACAGAGCCGCAAAUAUGUUUUGUAAGAAUUGUAAGCUCUCUGGUCACAAAUUUAGUAACUGUCCUAAAAUAGAGUGCAGGUACUGCCAUAAACAUGGCCACAUUCUGGAUAACUGCCCUACCAGACCACCCCGACCUCCUAGCACUUCCACAAAAGAGAAAAUUUUUACCAAACAUGGUUCCUCAUCUGUUGUUGCUGCGACCUCGGAUGAUUCAUCCCUCAUUCAGAUAAGUGAUCUUCAGAGCUUAUUGAAUCAACUAAUUUCAUCAUCCUCCGCUCUGCUGUUUCAUCAGGUAAUCGAUGGCUUCUUGAUUCUGCCUGUUGUAAUCAUAUGACCUCUGACUCUUCUCUUAUGUCUACUUCUAGCCCUACAAAAUCUUUACCUCCUAUUUAUGCUGCUGAUGGUAAUUGUAUGAACAUCUCUCAUACUGGUACCAUUGAUACUCCCAGUUACAUCUUCCCCAUACUUACUGUGUUCCUAACCUGACCUUUAAUCUAGUGUCUGUUGGUCAAUUAUGUGAUCUGGCUUAAAUGUUUCAUUUUCUCCCAAUGGUUGUCAGGUUCAGGAUCCGCAGACGGGACGACGAUUGGAACGGGUCGCAAAGUGGGAAGAUUGUUUGAGCUCACAUCACUUCGGUUUCAUCUCCUUCUUCCAUCUCUGCUUCGGUCACUGAUUCUGACACAUAUCAGUGGCAUCUUCGUCUUGGUCAUGCUUCCUCUGAAAAACUUCGUCAUUUAAUUUCUGUUAACAAUUUGACUAAUCUUACUAAAUUUGUUCCUUUUAAUUGUUUGAAUUGCAAACUUGCUAAACAACCUGCCUUAUCUUUUUCUCAAUCCAUCUCUAAUUGUGAUAAACCUUUUGAUUUAGUGCAUUCUGAUAUUUGGGGUCCUGCCCCAAUUACUACUGUUCAUGGUUAUCGCUACUAUGUUUUAUUCAUUGAUGACUACUCUCGAUUUACAUGGAUUUACUUUCUAAAACAUCGUUCUGAAUUAUCUCGCACAUAUAUUGAGUUUGCUAACAUGAUUCGCACUCAAUUUUCCUCUCCCAUCAAAAUUCUUCGCACUGAUAAUGCUUUGGAAUAUAAAGAUUCCAUCCUUCUUUCUUUUCUUUCCCAACAGGGCACUAUUGUUCAGCGCUCUUGCCCUCAUACCUCUCAACAAAAUGGACGUGCUGAGCGCAAACAUCGUCACAUUCUUGACUCAGUACGUGCCCUCCUUCUUUCUGCCUCUUGUCCAGAAAAAUUCUGGGGUGAAGCUGCCCUUACAUCAGUAUAUACAAUCAAUCGUCUCCCUUCCUCUGUCCUUCAAAAACCUCUCCGUUCGAAAAACUAUAUGGUAUUUCUCCCGACUAUUCUAAACUCAAAGUUUUUGGUAGUGCCUGCUUCGUUCUGUUACAUCCUCAUGAACACAAUAAACUUGAACCACGUGCCCGUCUCUGUUGCUUCCUUGGCUAUGGCACCGAACACAAAGGAUUUCGUUGUUGGGACCCUCUUUCCAACCGACUCCGGAUAUCUCGGCAUGUCACUUUUUGGGAACACACUAUGUUCUCUCGUUUGUCCUCCUUCCACACCUCUUCUCUAGUCCUCAAUCUUUCUUUACAAACAUCUGUUGACCUUUUUCCUCUCUCUGAACCCACCUUGGAUACUGAGCUUGCACAAUCUUCACCUGCUACUGCAAAUCUGGAUCCACCGUCUGUCUCCGAUGAUGUUCCUGAAUCGCCACCUGCUACUCCUCUUCGUCGCUCUACCCGGGUAAGAGAACCUCCCCUCAUCUCACUGAUUACCAUUGUUUUUCUACCAUUGUUUCCCUUGUUGAACCCACCUCUUAUCAAGAGGCCAGUACUAACCCAGUAUGGCAGAAAGCAAUGGAUGAAGAAUUACAGGCUCUUGAAAAGACGCACACUUGGGACUAUGUUGAUUUACCUCCCGGUAAAAGACCCAUUGGUUGCAAAUGGAUUUACAAAAUCAAAACUCACUCUGAUGGAACAUUGAACGUUAUAAAGCUCGGCUUGUUGCAAAAGGAUACUCACAAGAAUAUGGGAUUGACUAUGAAGAAACAUUUGCCCCUGUUGCCCGGAUGACAUCUGUUCGCAGCUUGUUAGCUGUUGCUGCUGCCAAACAGUGGCCUCUUCUUCAGAUGGAUGUCAAAAAUGCAUUUCUUAACGGCAACCUAUCUGAAGAAGUGUAUAUGAAGCCACCUCAGGGAACUUCUCCUCCUCCCAACAAGGUGUGUCUCCUUCGUCGCGCUCUAUACGGUCUAAAACAGGCUCCACGAGCUUGGUUUGCCACGUUUAGCUCCACCAUUACUCAACUUGGAUUUACCUCCAGCUCUCACGACAAUGCCCUUUUUACACGACAGACAACUCAUGGUAUUGUUCUUCUCCUUCUUUAUGUUGAUGAUAUGAUUAUUACUGGUAAUGAUCAACAGGCCAUAUCCGACCUACAACAAUAUCUUGGUCAACAUUUUGAGAUGAAAGACCUUGGAUCUCUCAAUUACUUUCUCGGUCUUGAAGUCUCUCACCGUUCAGAUGGUUAUCUGUUAUCUCAAGCGAAAUAUGCAUCUGAUCUAAUAGCACGCUCAGGAAUUACAGACUCCACCACAUCUUCAACACCGUUAGAUCCUCAUGUCCAUCUAACUCCGUUUGAUGGUGUUCCUCUUGACGAUGCAAGCUUGUAUCGGCAACUUGUUGGCAGUCUUAUAUACCUAACAGUAACUCGCCCAGAUAUUGCAUAUGCUGUUCAUAUUGUCAGUCAAUUUAUGGCUGCUCCUCGAACAAUUCAUUUCACUGCUGUUCUACGCAUACUUCGCUAUGUCAAAGGCACCUUGGGACAUGGUCUUCAAUUCUCAUCUCAGUCUUCCCUUGUGUUGUCGGGAUAUUCUGAUGCUGAUUGGGCGGGGGAUCCUACUGAUCGACGAUCCACUACAGGAUACUGUUUUUACUUAGGUGAUUCUCUCAUCUCAUGGCGUAGUAAGAAACAAAGUGUUAUAUCUCGUUCCAGUACGGAAUCUGAAUAUCGUGCUCUGGCUGAUGCUACAGCUGAACUUAUAUGGCUUCGGUGGCUCCUUGCCGAUAUGGGUGUCCCUCAACAGGGUCCUACCCUCCUCCAUUGUGACAAUCGUAGUGCCAUUCAGAUUGCUCACAAUGAUGUGUUUCAUGAACGUACAAAACACAUUGAAAAUGACUGUCACUUUGCUCGUCACCACCUCCUAAGCAACACCCUCCUCUUACAUUCUGUUUCUACUAUUGAACAACCUGCGGAUAUCUUCACCAAAGCCUUGCCAUCUAAUCAAUUCUGUCACUUACUUACCAAACUCAAGUUGAUCGCUACUCUACCACCUUGAGUUUGAGGGAGGGUAUUAAUGUAAAUUCUAUAAAUGCAAUUUAUGCAUAAUUUUCCUAAUACUCUUGUAUAAAUACACUACUUUGAUCAAUAAACAAAGUGAGGGAAUAUUCUUCAGCAUAUCCUUCAACAGAUGAUAAGAGUUGAAUUAUACACAAAUUUGCUACUUGUGGAGUUUUUGCAUGAUAAGAAUUAAAAUUUUAAUGAAAAUCCAAAAAUCAAGGAAAAUAAUAAAAUUAUUAUUUCUGAGUCAUUCACAAUACACUAUGACCAUUUAAUUUAUUCAAAGCCACCAAUAAAAUUGUCAUUUUUCUAAUAAGAUUGAACGUUUAGUUAGGUACACUGAUUUUGUUGAACUUAUAUAUAGUAUGAAUGAAUUGAAAACUUAGGUUUGAUUGAUUGGUUUUCGACUUUUGAGUAGAAAAGAGAAAUUUGAAUCCAUAUAAAUUGUGGAAAAAGCAUACACAACUAUCCGCAGAUUCCUUUUCUGACCUUGUAUGAGUUGAUAUACUUAAAACAUAACUGAACUGAAUAUAUGAUGAAGGAAGUAGGUGUGUAAAGUAAAGAUAAAAUGCGAAUAAAUUUGUUAAAUGCUUUGGUUUGGUGAUUUGAUAUUUUUGCAGUUUCAUCUACAAAUUUGUUUUGUUUAUAAAAAGAAAAAGAAAAGAAAAGAAAAGAAAAGAAAAAGAAAAAGAAGUAAAAAGAGGAAUAUUCAUUGAAAGUUCCUAAAUUUGCCCCCUAAAAUGGUGGCACACGUCACACGUGCCAUAUUCCCACCUUUUGGGGAGAUGAUUCUCUGCAUCGCUCAUCACUUGAACUAAGAAUCUGAAGAAAAAGCCCAUACUCUAUCCUAACCGUUAAAUACAGAUCCGUUUCAUAAUUCUCUCAGUGGACCUGAUCCUGCCACGUCUUCUCCUCAUCAUCAACUUUAUUUUUGACAAUUUAUCCUCUCUGAUUUGACUACCCAUCUAUCCGGUGGUUGAAGCCGCAAAGUAGUAUCAUCCUCCGCCCUCUCCGUCGCCCCCUCCCUAUAUUCCCUCGCUCGCUUCGCCCCGAUCUGAUUCCUCUCCUCCUCCUCCUCCUUCACCUCCGCCGUUCCCUCUUCACCGGCUGGCCGCUUCACCGGGAAAAGAUCGAGCGAUUUUGCCGAUUCCAAAACGCUCUCCCUCACUUUGAAACUGUUCUUAAAUUGACUUUCAACGAAGCUCGACAUCAACGAGAAGAUGUUAUUGCACAAAGAUUUCACCUCGUCCAAUUGUUCCGUGAGCUGAACUUUCUCUCUUCUCAGCCGAUCGUUCUCGUCAAUCAGCUCUGCAAGAGCUCUGGUUGGAGUCUCAUCAGACGAAAUCACUUGUUCUUCACCUGAAGAAUUUCCCGUCAAUGUCAAUACUUGGACAGACGGAAUCGCUGAAGCACCAACGGUUGUCACCACAGCCGCGUUAGAAGCAGUGGACGGAACCGGACCGACCAAUUUCCGACGCUGAAUCUCACAAAGAAGCUGUUUCUUCCCUUUGCGAAAGCACUCGUUCGCGAACUCCCAACGAUCCGAUACAACCUUUCUAAAUCCCUAAAACAGAACAAAAAAAGAAAUCCAAAAUGAAAGAAAAAUCCACGACCGCUGAGAAGGAAACAUGAAUGAAAUUGAAAUCCAGUAGAGGAUUGAUUACAUAAGUAUUGAGCUGACGGAGAAAGCUGGUGAAGUUAUUAUGCUUGAAAUACUUGGGAAGCAAAUCUUUAGCGAAAGCCAUGGUGUUCCAGACGAUGAAGGUAGAUCCGUCGUCGUUCCAUGAAAUGACAUGGUCGAUUGAGCGGUCGUCGACAAGCUGAUAAGUCUUGGUCAAGAAAGGAGUGGGAACAGAUCUGUAGGAAUCGAUAGGAGUAGGGGUGGGAUUGGCGGUCGGCUCCUCCAUGAGAGGAGCCAGAAGAAUGAAGGAAAUGAGAUGGGGUAAUGAUGGGAGGGAAGUCGGAAAGCCAGAAAGCGUGAAGGAAGGUUCGAAGUGUGAGUUAUGGAAGGAAGGAAAGUUGUGAGAAUUUUCCGGGAAGGGGAGUUGGGAAUUUCAAUUCUAGAAGGUUCGUGGAAGAAGAGGAUGAAGAGAAGAUUUUUUUGUUGAUAAAGUUGCUGAUUUCAGAAACUUCCUCGAAAGCCUAACUUUUUCUUUUAAUUCUUUUAAUUCUUUUAUUUCUUUUAAUUCUUUUAAUUCUUUUAAUUCUUUUAUUUCUUUUAUUUCUUAUUUUAAGCUGUCACCCACCAGUCCCUUCUAUGAGCUUACCCCAAAAUCCAAAUCUUUCCACGUAGGCAGCCACAUAGAUUAUUUCUUUUUUCUAUUUUCAAGAGUAAUUUGCUUGAAAAUCCAAUCCCAAAAAUGGUUAUAUAUCGACUUCAUUAAAAAUAAUGUUGGUUCGUCUUUGUCAAACAAUUUUUCUUUAUUUAAAUCAUCAUUCAUAUAAAAAGAAAUUCAAUUGUCAAAAAUGGAAAAAUGUACAAAUACAAAUGACGUGGAUGUCAAAGAAAAAAUCAACUAUAAUGAGUUUUUUUACUUUUAUUUUUUUUGCAAUAAGACAAAUGAAAAAUAAGUUCAUAAAAAAGGAAGUUAAAUAAAAUUUCAAAUAGAGAAUACUCUUUUCAAUAAUUUCCCGGAACUAAAAUGUUAUUCGAAGUGUUUUUUUAAUUGUAUAAAAAUCAAUUUUACAGAAUUUCAUCCAUUUUCUUUUAAUUUAUAAAAAUGAAGAAUUCAAAGUGUUUUUUUUUUUUUUUUUUAGAAAUUUGAAAUAAAAUAUAAACAAAACCUGAAGUGAAAGUAUAAACAUGAUGAAGUCCAGUCCCAUUUCCAAAGAUGACCAAAAUCUAACAAAAAAUAAAAUCAAGAAAGAAUCCACGAGAAAGAAAUGAUUAGAAAAAGGAAUAUGAAACAAAGAAAAGGACUGCAAAAGAGGAACAAUGAAACAUAUUUGUCCAUAUUGAAGACUUCUCAAUUAAGUUCCUCAAUUUCUCUUCCUCCAUAUUCACCAAAGUCAAAAGCUUCCAUCACAUUCACCCACAAAAUAUGCUCAUUUUCUGCAAUCUUUGGCAACACCAUCAUUGACCAAGACACUUGAAAUUGAUGUCCAAAACCAAAAUUCCAAUCAAAACAUCAAUGAAGAUACAUAUAGUUCCUCUUCCCUGGUUCUACUCAACGAUGCUGACCAUCUCAGCCACCCACCCAAACACACAUAUCAAGACACCUCUUUUCAAUCCUUUGUUGUUAAGAUAUCUUUCCAACGACCACAUGCAAGGAUCCGAUCUCGCGGUGCCUUAGUUAUACAAUCUAUAUUAGUUUUUCUAAUAAAAUUGUUCUUCCUUUGUCCCAUAAGCAUAUUAUUAGUGAACCACAUAACUUACAUCAAUCCUAAACCCUAAACACACGGACGAUGAGGGUACCCAGUACCCAUAGUUGAUCUUUCUAACACAAGACAUUAUCUCUCGGGAGAGGGUUAAUAAAAAAGUGUUUAGAGACGAGACUUUUGAUAAUUAAGACAUUUCAAACUUUCCUUUCUGCAGAGGAAACCGCUAAAGCCAUAUUGUAUGCAAAGUCACAUUCUUUUUCUUCAAAUUCCCAACACUAGUGCCAACUUUUUCUAAAGGUAAAGUCACAAUUUCCUAGUCAACUGCAUCACUGAGAUUUUUCUCCAUUGCCAAUUCCAAAUGGAACUCUCAAUUUCUUUAUUGGAAUAGGAAGGGUGAAACAUAUUAUGAAUUGGAAAAAGAAUUUCAUUACCUAAUGUUGACAAUCAACACUUCGAAAUGCUGAAAAUUUUCCAUUUCUCCAGUUUUCUCAAAACACUCCCAACCCCCAAUCUUGCAAGUUUACAAAUAUUCUUUCCACGGCUCAAUCUUGCAGAUGAAUCUUUCUCCAGAUUCACUUUCAAUCUUGAGGCCAUCCCAAAACCACUCUACUGAGGUUAUCAAACAUAUUAUGUUCAUCCUCAGACAAAAGAAUUGUACCAUCAGAAAAUUACAUUCAAAAUUCAUCCAAAAUCAAUUUCAGACAUCGCCCACCACAAAAAGGAAGGAAAGGAUAAUCCUCUAGCCUGAGCUAUUCAUCUCUAAGACAUUUUUUUUAAUCCAACGCCUUAAAGAGAAUCCCCCCAUUGUACAUUACAUUUCAUAAGCAAUCUCAUUAACAGAAAACUAAGAAUGAACAGAAAACUAAGAAUGAAGUAUUUAGACAACUCAAUUCAAUUCAUAUGAUAUGUUGCUUCAUUCAAACGAAAUACACACCUGAACUGGCGAAGAUUGAAGAAGACAUCACUGAGAAGUCAUAAUGCAAAUUCAAAACCGUAACAACAAAAACCAUCUCAUAUUUGAUUCGUCGAUCGGCAUUAGUUUGUACAAUAAGAUUCAUGAAGUUCAAGAGCACAAUAUAUGGAUAUUUUCAUGGCUUGAACCAAAUUGUUCUCAUUUCGCUCAAAAGCUUACAGCAGUCUAAACUCAAUGGACAAAAUUCCGGGAAAAUUUAAUAGCGAGAGAGCGAAAGAAAAAAAAAAAGAACACAUAUUUCACAUUGUCAAGAAACAUACAAGAUACCACGACGAUAUAGCACAAUGGUGGCAGAUGUAUAAAGAGUCAGUACGGAGACAAUCCACCAAGCCAUUAACAGAGCCACUUGGUUGACAAAAGAAGAACAGGGAAGAAGAAAACUUACCAAAUUGGUAUUUUUGAAAGAGUUGAUAUCAAUUUGAGAUAACCCAACAAAAAGCAAAACUAAGGCUGGUGGAGCAAAAAACUGCAAAGCAGACACACAUAAGUAGUGAUUAUGUAGAAAAACCUUUGCUCUACUGAAAUCCAAGUCAGGAACUUUCCCAGCAUGCAAUCUUUGGUACCAAGAUAACAGAGCUUCGUUCAGAUACAUUUGCAAGUUCUGCCUUACUGCAAUGAUUUGCAAGAAACCAGAUAGUGUCAAACACCAAAGCCUAAGUUUGGCAAAAUCUUCCUUCGAGAAUCCUAUGCUUCCGACCAAUCUGUCAGCAUUUCGAAUUUCACUAGACAUAUGUCCAAUUGUACCUUCGCCAAUGUUCUUCUUAAUGAAAAUUUCAGCUAAUGGGUUAACCCACAGCAAGGUGGUGAAAGCCAUGGCUGCCUGACUCGAAUACAAAACUAUCCUAGAAAACCAUCCACAAUAAACCAUAUCCAAAUUGCAUCUAAUUUGAUCAGUUCCAAGCCAAAAUGAUCGAGUGAUUUUGGUUGCAGGUAUAAACAAAAACCCAGCACACAACCCCAUUAAGAUAGCAACAAAGCAUGCCCCCAUACCACCAAUUUCACGGAGAUCAAAAUCUAAUAUAAGAGGACUAAAAGCAGAACAAGUUAGAAGUCCAAAAAGAAACCCAAAAACUCCAAAGAGUAAACUUAAUUGCCUAUCCAACGUUCUGGAAGCAGAUUUCUCAAAAGCAACCUUUGUGAGAGAUACAAAUAGCUUACACCCAGCAAAGAUCACAAACAGAAGAGGAACAAAAAUCCCAUUUCCCCAAACCCCAGAAUUUUUUGAUGCACCCACGAAAAUUUGCAGCAGUAAACAAGAAAUACCCACAAAUGAAAAGGUGAAAGCAUCUCUGUAUUCUUUGAAAUAGAUCCGCGUUUGCAGAUGAUUCUCAUCCAGCUUUAACCUGAAGAUCUGCGCCUUGCUUUCAUCAAACUCAGCCUUGUCCUUCGACUUUGUUCUUUUCUUGAUCUCAGCGGCAGCAGUUGAGGACAAGUUCCGGUACCCCUUUAGUCCAGUGCCGGAGCUAGAACUGUCAGGUCGUCUAAUUGCGGCUCGGACGCCGCUGUUGGUAUUAUCGGGGUGGAUGUAAGUGAAUAUGCCAUGAAGGAAAAUGGAUGGGAUAUUGAAGAAGAUGAUAAAAACAGAAAGCGAGAGAGACAGAGCAACAUGAAGAAGCAAAUUCCUGUAUAUUGAAAGAAUUUGUAGCAACAUAGCGUGAAGAGGUGGUUGCUUGGUUGUUUGUGGGGGAUUUGUAGACUGUCUUUGAAGCUUGAGAUCUCUGAGAAUGGAGAUUCCCCGAGUCCGUCGUCAACUUGGUUUGGUAAAGAAGAAAAAGUAUUGGGUUUGGGUUUGGGUUUGGAUUCAACACUAUUCGACCAUUGGGCUUGGUUUCGGUCGCUGUAUACGGCGGUGCUGAGCGGUGUCAAAACGGAAGGUCUUGAAUCGGGUCGGCCCAAGGUGCAGAUUCUUAGGUAAUAGUUACGGUUAGGUUGGAAUACCGAUGGUUGAUGAAAAUACGCGCUUCAAAUAAAUCUCCCUCAUUUCAAAUUUACAAUAUUUAACCUAAUACAUACCAAACUAAUAAAUUUCUAUUGAUUUCUAUCAAAUGUAUGUAAAAUUUUGAAACUUUGUUAUAUACAUUUCUGUUAUGGUUUAUCAUGUUAUUUUGUACGUGGUAAUGAUCAAUAAACUUAACAACAAUAUUUAACUUUACACAUUAACUAUCAUACACAUCCAAACACAAAUAUUAAUCAUCAUACACAUUUGAUAUAGCAAAAUGUCAUUGUUUGUUGAUGAUAGAUUAUGAUAGACAACCAUUAAUAGAUUUUAAAAUUUUAUUAUAUUCAUAAAUAAUUUAAUUAAUUCGGUUAGGUUAAAAAAUAUCUCAAAUAUAAUUCUGGUAAGGCAACUAUGUUUUGACUUUAAAUAUAAUUGGAGUGAUGUUGUGAGAUGAAGUUAAAUGCAUUAUUCACUAAAUUCAUUAUGAAAAUAAUUAGAAACACAACUUGAGGCUUUAGAGUAUUUGUUGUUGCAAUUUACGUAGAAGGAGUAUUUCACCUUGUAUGUCAUUUGGUGAAUAUUUGUAUUUCGCAUUGUUUUGACACUCGAUGUCUCGCCUUGUGUAGAGAUUAGAAUGCCUAAGGAUCAGCUCACGGAAAUUUAUUACGUACUAAUCAGUUCGUCUAAAUGAUUAGUUUACCUAAUCAAAACGGCUCUUGUCAAUAUGUCUACUGCAAAAUAGAAAGGAGGUUGAGUCGUGGAUCUUGCUCUUUUGAAGAUGUUUUGCGACUCUACUUCUUUGUACAAUCAGAUUUUAAAAGCCUCGUCGUCUCCAGGAUAAAACAGUUGUGUUCUUCAAUUCACUUUUGCACUAAAAACUAAUUGGAGGAUCAACACUCAAAUAGACACUAUUUGUUCAAAAUCUUUCAAAGAAAGUUUUUAAAGAGAGCUUUUCUAGUUUUUCUCAUUUUUAAAAAAAUGAAGAACGAAAGAUCUUUAUAAGUGGAGGAGAAUGAGGACAUUGGAACUUAAUUAUGAGAAUCAAAACAUUUAGUAAUUAAAUAAAAAAAUUUAAUUUUGGAAAUGUUAUAAAUUAAUUAAAAAAACAUAAUUAAAACGUUUAAUUCUUUUAGGAUGCGAAAUGAUCAUAAUGAUUUGUAGUAAAGAAACGGAUUUAAUAUCAUUAUUACAUCUCAUAUUGUCUAGCCAAUCCACCUCAAGAUUAAAGCAAAAAAAAAAAGAAAAAAACUCUUAGCCAUCUCGCCUAGAUGACCGUUUGUGCGUGGAGAUUAGUAAAUCUAAUUGCCUAACUAUUAUCUAGGAUGACUUCACACACCUUAUUUGUUUACCUUCUUUCAUUUCCAAACUCUCGUUUGAAUUAAUAUUUUGUAAUAAUAACAUCUUCAGAAAAAUUUCAUCAUCAACAGGAUUCAAUGACUUAAAAGAGGUCUAUAUGCAUGACUUACUUUUGAAAUAUUUUAUUCUUACAAAUCUGUAAAGAAUUUGAUACUUUUAAUAGAUAAUUAUCCAAAAUUAAUUCCAUAACAUAAAAAUCAUUUGAUUAGAGGUUGAAAGUUCAACCCUAUCUCAUAACUGUUGAACUAAUUGAAAGUGAUUUAUCAUAUUAACAUAACUCAAUUAUUUAAGAAAUCAACUAAUUGUAAUUUUUUGAGUUCAAAUAAUUGCACAAAGAAGAAGAUUGAACUACACAUAUAAAAUAUUUAUAUGAAUAUUGUGUUGUGUGGCAAAUGAGGUGACUAUUGUUUACUCAUAAAUAGUGAAUUUUCAUAUAUAUGGUCACCAUCACAUUCAAACAAGAUGAAAAGACAAAUAGUUGUCAUAAGUAACUAAACAAAAACAAUGAAAAGUUAUGAGAAGAAAACAAGAAUAAUAUAAAGAUCUUUUUUUCUCGUAUACUCUCUUCUAUAGAUAUUUUAUUUAUUGAUAGAAUAUGUUCUUGAAAGAUUAAUGAUGUGAUAGGUUCAUUAAAAAAAAAAAAAAUCAAAACCAUUGACCUUAUGGAACCCUAGAAAACGGACUCUUCACAAGAUCAUAUUAUUAUUUUCCUUUUAAACCCUUUCUUGAUGAUAUACAUUAAGCAUAUGCUUCCUCAUAAAAAGGAUUGAUGAAAAUGAUUUCCGAUACAAAAAAUUGUUUAAAUUUUAACGAAAGAAUGUGAGUAAGAUAAGAUUUUGGCAACACACACUUUAUAUUGAUGAAUCCCUUUCCCUUAUCCCCACAUAACUCUCAUCCACUUUAAUGACUUUCCAUUGCAUCCAAUAAAUAAAUUUAGGAAAAGAACAACCCCACACAAUAAAAAUCAAACCCACAUUCCCAAAUCAAAUAAAAAAUAUCUUCUCUUUGACUAUACUUACACAUUUUAUAUAUAUAUAUAUAUAUAUAUAUGCUUUUUCGCUUAUACAUACAUAUAAUAACAAUCAAAAUCGGUAAUGGUCUCUCUUAUGAUCUUCUCUAAGAAAGAAAAGUGGGGAUAAAAGCAUAUGAUAAAAUAAACUUAGAUUUAAUUUGAAUAGCUGCUUUAUUUGUUAUUAAUGGGAUACCAAUCAACCUAACUUUAGUUUAGAAUGGAACUUAAUUUAAGAUUAAAUGAACAUUAUUUUAUAAAUACCAGACUUCUUUAUUGUCUUACCCUAUGUCUUCUCUAAGUUUUUGUAUCCAUUUUGUAUCAUCUUUAAAUUAUAUAUCUUACCAUAUUAUAUUAAUUGUAUUUUUUUAAUAAAAAAUAGACGUUAUUAUGUGAACUUAAAAUUUUAGAGUUGCUUUCUAUAAAAUAUGUUAUGAAAUAGUACACCACUUGUGAAAAUGAGUUUCUAAUUGAAUAGUUGUGUACCAUUUGUAAUAAUUGUGUGAUUCAAAAAGUUAGAACAAAAAUAUAAAUAUUGAAAAAAAUGUGAAUAAUGUGAUAAUUGAGACUUUCAAAUAUUGGAUGCAACUUUCUUUUAAAGGAUGUAUUUCUACCAAUACAUUUCAACGGUUAAAUCCUGAUGUUUCAGAUUUACAUUCUUCUUCAUAUAUAUACCCAUAUGCGUCAAACUGACACACACAACUUCUCAAUCACAUUUUCAUUCAAGCAAUUGUAUCCUAUCAAAAUUAAUUGAUUGAUAUGAGCAAAGAAUGUUGAUAAGAAAAAAGAGGUUAAGAAUGGUUUAAGCCGUAAAAAGAAAUUGUACAAUUGUGACCAUUGAGAUAUAUAUGUGAAUUUAUAUGCUUUUAAAUUUUAAAUGCCCAAUUUGUUAGAGGUGGUAUUCUAUAAAAAAUAAAUAUAUAUAUAUAUUUGCCCACACACAAAAACACAUCUUAAUUAUUAGAUUUAUGAUGUUUUAUAUAUGUAUGGACUUAAUGAUCAUACAAACAGAAAUAUUGCUUCUUUCAAUCGAACAUCUUGACCCAACGAUUGUGUUCUACAACAAUUUCAACCAAUUUAAUGUACUUCAAGUUUGAAAGGGAAAAUAUAUUAAAAAGUUAGCUAAAUAAUUAAAUCUUAAAAAUUCAUGUCAACCCUGAAACUUAGUUUCAUUCCCUUUCCACAAGUCAUUCCAACUCAAAAUCUCAAGCUUGUCCCAACCUCAAAUCCGACUAUUGACAUCAACAUUUUGGGAUUAGGUUUGAGUCGGUCCAACCUUUUAAAUAUAGGUUCAUGGCUCAAUGGCUCAAUCUACGAACCUCUUGUUGGAGGGAUCAAAACUGAAUUAGAUUUAGACUAGUUAUUUGGAUUGUGAUCGAAUUUGAAAUGAUUAAUUGUUUUUAUUUAAAAGCAGUAAGCUGUUGAAGACUUGUUUACAUUAGAGUAUGAAACUUUCUCAUCGGUUAAAAAUUUUCAAAGUGAAUAGAGUGAAUCUUUUGAUAAAUUUUUACUUUUCAACUCGGCCCUAUGGAUACUACUACUACACAUUUAACCAUCUCUUUUUUUAUUUAUUUAAUUUUCAUGCAUGUGUAGAUGAAGAUAUAUUGUUUACGUUGUUGAAUUGAAUUUUUAAGAAAUUAAAUUAUUACUAUUGAUUUAUAUACACCCGUGGAUUUAGUAUAGGUUCAGGGGUCGAGCCCUCCUCAAUUUUAUUGUCUUUAUAUAAUAUGUAUAAACAAAACCAAUUAAUAUUUAAUAUUUGUAGAUGGUUUAGUGGCAACUAUGUUUUUCAACUCCUAUUCUAACCAAAGUUCAAAUUUUAUUUAUAUAGUUUUUUUUUUCUCUAAGUUACAACUGGAACCCGGUGUCAAUAAAUUUUAAUGAAGUGAGAAUUUGUUAAGAAUAUAAAAAUAAAAGAAACUACUUAUCAAAUAAAAAAGAAAAAGAACUUUUUUAAAAGGGUAUGGAGAGUUAAUUUUAUUAUAUUAUGUAAAUAGUUUUAAUCUUUUCGUUAUUUUUAAAAAUAUUAUAUAUAUAAAUUAGUGUGCAUAUAGAUGAGAUUGAAUUGGCCUUUUAACCCGUCCCGACAUGGUGAUUCAGAUAUGGGUAAAACGUGUUGGCCCAAUUGAAAGAAAAUUAGAAUAUAUGUAUAUCCAAUUUAUUUUUAGGAAAGGUUUAGACGGUGUUUCCCAUAUUUAAAGAAUAAGUUCGUAUAUCCAAUCUAAUUUACGAAAUAAUUGAAUCGACUCACAUAACUCAACCCUUGGGCUACGCUUCCAUCUAACUUCGGCUUUUGGGCCCAAGGAGAAGAUUGAUCGAUCUAAACCUCUGCCUACACAUGGGGGUUCUUUUUGAACGUUCGUUGCAUUUGUACUAACACAUCUUUAUUAUAUUAAAUGGUGAUGCUUCACUUCUAUGAUCACAAUUACAAUACACUCUACUCAUCCUAAUAAAUACAUGACCAAAAUGAGUUUAACACAAUACCAAGUAUUGAUAUGACCUUUGUUGUUUGAGCUUAAAGAUGAAGAUUCAAUACAUAUAUAAAUGAUUGUUUAGACUUUAGAUGAUGAACCACAACAACAUACCUAAAAACUAACCUUAGAAAAUAUAAAUCAUGUAAUUAACACAAGUAAAAUAAAAUAUGUGUAAAGCAGUACUGAAGGUGAAUGGUAAUUAAUUCAACCUCAUGAUGUCAUACGUAAAAUAUGACUUGUAAAUUGAACAUGAAGUAAGCCAAUUGAAAUUCACUUAAUUUCUGAAUUAGACCCAUCUUUGUGUUUGUUUGUUUGUUCAGACAAUAAUUAAUUAAAGAUCUAAAAACUAAAAUGAAAAGAUAUAAAGAUUAAAAGAAGAAGAAGAAGAAGAAUAUAUUUGCUAGUUGAGAGGUGACAUGGGAUGGUCUCUCUCAUCUUCAUCCUCAACUGCUCUCUUUUCCAUCUGUGGGACCACCUGUCAUUUCACACAAAACCAUUCCACAUUUUUAUUUCAAUUCUAUAAUUCAUUCAUUCAUUAAUACCAUUUUUUAUAACUUCUUUUUGUGUAUUUUACAAGAUAACCAUCAUUCCUGAGCUUUGUUUAAUAAUUGAACCAGAUAUUUUUAGUUUCUUCUCUUCUCUUUUCUAUUAUCAAUUUUACUACUAAAAAAUUAAUAAUUAGAGUUUAGCCAAUUAGAUGUGGGAGCACAAAGCUAUAUGCUUUAAUUACGGAUAUGAUCACUUUUUUCUUAAUUUUAUAAUCUAUAUCCACGUGGCAUUUCCAAAAUACCCACACCAGCCGCAAAAAAAAAAAGGCAGCAUAAUUAUUUCGAUGGAAAAAGAAGGAGAUAAAGACAAAAACAAAUAGGUCAUUUCUAUUAUUAGUAGAGAUAAAAGAAAGAAAGAAAUGUAAUGUUUAAAUUUAUAGUAUAUAGUUUCUGCACUAGCCUGAUCUUGAGUUGAAGUGUACGGUGGAGAUGAUAUCCUCCUAGAUCUCCUCGUAGAUCUACCGUUGAUUCUUGCACUUCCUGGAUCAAACCCAAAAUAAAUUAAAAUAAUAAAUAACAAAAAAAGAAAAAGGAAAAUGCAAGCAAAGAAUAUUAAUGAUCUUUUUGGAGUUAGAGGAAAGUGAUUUAUUUAUUUAUUUAUUUAUUUAAGAAAUAAUUUUGUGAUAUCUAAAUCAUACAUAAAUAUCUUCCUAAGGAAUAUUCACUAUUCUCACUUUUUUUUUUCUUUAUCUUAUUUGAUAGACGUUGUUUGGUCGGUCCUUUUUAGUCAAAAUAAUAACAAUAACAAAAAUAAAUAAAUAAAUAAAUAAAUAAAGCAUUUUUUUUAAUUACAAAGUUUUUUUAAAAAAUGUAAGAUUAAACUGACCGGAGGUGGGAUGGUUUUUGGUGUGGUUAUGAGGGGAAUCUAGGGUUGAGUCAGCGGUGUCCGGCAAGAGGCGGUCCAGCCGUAGACCGCGGCGAUGUGCGCGAUUUUGGAACAUUGAUCGGACGAAAGAAGCUUCCACGGAAUUCAAGAAGUGCAUGUGCUUCUCAUUAGUCCAAAGCGGCCCGGUUUGGGUGAAUUGCACAUGCGAUUCCAUGGGUUUAAUAAUUAGGUGUGUAUGAGAACAUAAAAUUGAAGGGAGAGGAAUUGAAAGAAGAAGAAAUAAGAAAGAAAGAAAGAAAGAAAGAAAGAAAGAGAAGAAAAAACACUUUUCCGAUGGGUUUGGGAGAUAUGAAUAUAAUGUACUGGAUUGGUGGGGUUUUAAUUACGUUGGUUUUUAUAGAAGCGCUUUUACAAAGAAAGAAGAGAAGCUAUAGGGUUGGCGACUUUGGCGUUUCCUUUUUCCCAAUUCUGAAACGCGACUACACAUUAAAAUCAUGUGUUUCCCCUACUCGCCUUUCACCCUCUCUCCCUCUCUCCCUCACCUACUUUUUAUAACCUCCCCCAUAUUAAAAAAAGUUAAAACAACCUUCCUUAUAUUUAAAAUAUCUUUUUAACCAUUACAAAAGGGUUCCCAUAAUUAUAAAACAAUUCUAUCUUUUAAAUUCUAGAGACUAAAUUCUUUUUUAUCAACCUAUAAAAUUAUUUAUUAUUAAUAAUAGAUAUUCGUUUUGAGUGACAAUUUAUAAUUACUUCAUUUAUUGUUUAUGUGGCUUGAUAUUGGAUAUGUAAGGGAUACAUAUAGGUUAAAAUUCUAAAUAAAUUGGAGUCAGUGAAGAGAUUUUAUUUUCUUAAUUAAUUCAUUUAUACUAUUUAUAUAUGUUGUUAUAAUAUAUAUAUAUAUAUAUAUUAUAUGCGUUUCUUGGUUGUGCCUCAUUUUUACACGUUAUGAGUGCUAACUCUAGCCUACUCCUCCACUGAAAGUAGGUAGGAUUUUCUCACUUUAUUAUAAAAAUGUUAUUUUUCAUAUUUUAUGUAUAUUAAAUUUCUGAUAUAAUUAUAAUAUUUUAAAAUAAUGUUACCAUGUCCGAUCUUGUAAAACUAGAAUUUACAACCUUUACAUCAACGAUAGCAAUUAGUUACCAUAGGUUCUUGAUGUGAGAUGUAUCUCGGCGCCAUGAAUAUGAAUCUCGCAGAUACAAUUAAAUAAAGAAAUACAACAACCAAUCAAGAAACAGUAAAAGUCAUUAUUUUCCUUUGUCAUCAAGGAUUUAAAAUUAGAAUAUUUAACAAUAAAAGAUCCUCGUACAUUGUGGAGUAAAUUGAAAAAAAAAUAAUUAAUCAUUUAAAAUUAGUUCAUCUUGCGCAAGCUCGUUAUGAUGGGAUAAAUUUGAGAGUACAAAAUUUUAAAUCAAUAAGUUAUUAUAAUUUUGAAUAUAUUAUUUAGAAUUAGACAUGUUGAAAAAAAAUAUUUGCUACUUUAUUUUCAUAUAUAUUAAAUAUGAUCUGGCAGCAGCAAUAUCGAGAGAAAAGUUUUACAAAACAUUUUGAAAUCAUCUCGUCUUAUUGUUACCGAACAAAAUAACAGGUUGUAGAUGAAAAACCACAAAUCCUGAACAAUUGGAACAAAACCAUUCCUUGAGGCGAGUGAUCUUGUGAAUUUUCAUCGCAGAAGGGAUUGUGGUCGAAGUAAUAAAGAUUGUGGUAGAGGAAAAAAUAAUUAUUAUUUUCGGUGUUGGUCACUAUAAUAAUUAAAUUUAAAAAAAACCACACGAAAUGAUGAGUAUUAAAGUGAAGGCUCCACAAAAUAUAAGAAUACAAAAAUGGAUGAAGAACUAUUGAUAUAUACGACUAGACAUUGAUCGCAUGUUUGUCUUAUAAAUCGAAACACUUAUAAUAUUUCCAUACCAAGUCUCCUUAGAGAAGAAAAAAUGGGGAAAAUGUAGAGGUUGAUUGUGUCUAUCAAGAUAAUGAUAUAUUUGAUCCAUCAAGUCUAACAAACUUGGAUGUGGUAGGUUUUUUUGGAACUCCUUAAGAAAAUCAAAAUUCACAAUUGACAAUGCAUUUUUCUCAAGUUAAUCAAGGAGAAAUCCACUUAGUUUUAAAGAUAUAUGUAGAUCUAUUAGCCCACCAAGUGGACCAUUAAAGUAUUUUAUGAUAUCAGUAGAUGUUCAUUUUAAGUGUCUAUGCCAAGUGAUAAUUCAUAACUACUCCAUUCACAUAUAUCUCAAUAUGACACACCAUUAGUGUUCAUUUAAGUCACCACCUACUUGCCAUUUUGCCUAUAAGUGAGAUAUAUAUCGACUAAAAAUUCAAAUAAAUUGGAGUUAGUGAGUGGAGAGAAUUUGUUUUCUUUUAACUUUCUUAAUUUAUUUAUCCAUAUUAUUUAUAUAUUCUAUUUUAUUUAUAACCAUAGUAUUAUAUUUUUUUGGAUAUGCGUAUUCUUUAUUUUUACGACAUAUAUAAGAUUAUUAAAUCAUAUAGAUUAAAUUUUAAUUUUUAAAAAUUUUAAAAACUAAAUUCUAACCAUUUUUAAACAAUAUGAACUUUGACUUUAUAUAUAUACAUACAUUUUGUGUUAUUGAGAAUGAGACAACUUGUAAAUUGUAAAUUGUAAUUACGGUGAGAAGAAACUUAAAUUACAUGGAAACCCUACACACAACUAUUACUAUUGUGUAUCUUAACUAUUAUAAUUGCCUGUUUAAAAAAAUGAUAGGUAUAUUAUAUGAAAUAAGUCGUGUAGAAUUAGUGAUAUACAUUUAAAAUAAGUUUGAUGAAGCUACAUAUAUGACAUGAAUGCAAAUAGGCAUUAUUGAUCAUUUAAUAAUGCGUACAGUGGAUUGAUUAAUUAGAAAUAAGUAGCAAAUUGAAUUAAGAUGUUGAGUUAGAGGUAUAUUAGAGUUAGAAAAGAAGUAUUUUUAUAUAUGAAUAAAAUUAGGAAAGUGCAUAAUGAUAAUAAUAGUAAGGGGAGAGGGGGAGAGGUGGGGGAUGGAGAGAGCGAGUAGAGAGAAAAAGAGUAGUGGGGGAGGUGGUGAAAAUAUCUAGAGGGGAUUUAAAUAGUGAAAAGAGAGAUAUUUUAGAAGGUGAACAGAGAGAGAAGGAAAAAGAUCUGAAGGCUGGUUUUUGUGUCCCACACACACACUCACUUUUAUUCCAGUUGGCCGAUUCUGACCAUUUUCCUCUUUCUUUCUUUCUUUCUUUCUCUUUUUUACUAUAUUUAUUUACUAUUCCCUCCAUCAUCUUUAAUUUAAUUGUUUAUCGUCUCAUUAAAUUAUGUUUAACAAAAUAUCUUAUUACAAUCAAACCAACUUUGGGUACAUAUCAUCAACUAUCCCUUUUUAUUUACUCUUUUCUUAUUCAUUAAUUAACCCCCAGCCAGCCCAUCAAUAAUAUUUUCAUAAAUUUUAAGUUUUGUCCCACCAUUUUUAUAAGUUAUUUCUUCCUCGAUUUAUAAUAUUAUGAUUAUUAUAAAUAUUUACCGAUUUCCUCCUUUUCUUCUUUUGAAAGCAUCAAAUACAUAGAAAUUUAAAAUCACAUAUUAUUUCUUAAGCGGACAACUCACGGAAGGGCUGUGAGUUUGUGUGAUUAUACCUCAUCAAUACACCCAUUUAUUUCUUACAUAAUAUUAUCAUUUAUUAUCCUUCAUUUUAGACCUAUUUUUCCAUUUCAUGCUAAAUUCUGAACCAAAAAAUAACUUAAUUAUUACAAUAAAUAUCUUUUCACUCACCUAUAUACUUACCUGCUUUCCUUUCAUUCCUAUCCAAUCUUAGGACGUAAUUUCUAUAUCCUUCACAUGAACAAAAGAAGUAUACUUUGAUUGCUUAAUUAUUCAAUAUCAAUACAAAAUAAUAAAAUCAAUGUUUAAUAUAAAAAUAUUCAUUUGUUUUUAUUUUAUGUGAUUCAAUAAUUAAUUAAUAGAAAAUAUAUCAUAAAUAAGUGCAUUAUAAAUUUAACAAAAUGUACUAAAAUAUUUAUAAAAUAUAACAAAACUUUAUAUUUCAUAAGUGAAUCCACCCAAUUAGUGGUAUUGAUAAAAGCUUGUUAUUCAUCCAUAAAAUAUCUGAAAUUUUGUUAUAUUUUAUAAAUAUCGUCAAUAAUCUUGUUAUCGUUAUUUACGAUAAAUUUUUUAAUAAAUAAUUCUAAAUUAAAUUUAUGAUUACAUUAAUUACUUGCCAACUUACCUUUGAUUCUUUUUAUUUAUUAUUUUUAAGAAUUAAAAAAAAUAAAAGAAAUAUUUACCCUUCAUCCCAAUACUUCACCGCACAUUUUACCAUUUAAUCUAAAUAUUUGAUCAAUUUUACCAUUUUUACCCUUUUCCACUUUUUUUAUUUACAAACUUUCCUAUAUUAAUUAUCUUAAAUACCAAAAUACAUAAAUUAAUUUUCUAAAAUAUUUGAAAAGUCCAACAUUUAAAUUCCAAAUAUUUUAACAUGUAAACACAAAAGCAAAGUUAUUUGUUAUCCAAACCUAUCCUAAUAGUAAUUAUAAUUAACUUUAAAACAAGUUUUUAAAUAUAUGUAAAAGAAAAAUUGAACUAAAAAUAAAAUAUCUUUUAGAGAUUAUUAGAUGAUAUGUAAAUAUAGGGUUUAAGAGAUUAAAAGAUAGACGUAAAGAACUAUUCUAUUUUUAGUUUAGGCAUCAAUUUAGUUAAAUUGAAUCUUGCAUUCAUCGGAAACAUAAUUGUUGAAUAAAGCAAACUUUGUUGACAACUUUUUUUUUUCUUUUUAAGUUAUCAAUAUCCAAACACAAAAAUAAACCCACUGUCCAACGUCCAAAUCUUAUUUUAGUCAAACCAUUUACUUUUCCACUUUUAUAAUUAAUACAAGAUCAUUUCGAAUCAAAAUAGUAUGUGAACAUUUAAAAAUCGAUCUAAAUUUCGAAACAUUUAUCAAUCCUUUUGUUAUCCACUAGAUGAAUAUCUUGAAUAAUACAAUAAUUAACGUUUUAUUUUGAAUGAAUUUUUUAAUUGAUUAUAAAUAUUUUCUUUGUUUUAAUUAAUGGCGAUUAAAAAUUUUAGAUUGACUAUAAUAUUAAAAAUUUAGAAGAAAAGACACAUGUCAAUUUUGUGAGUUGGAUUCAAUGGAAUUGGAUAUCAAAUUAAAUUUAGGUGUUCAAAUGCAAAUAUGUAUAAACAAUUUUGAUGAUUUUUGAAAUAUAAAUAACGACAAAUAAUAAUCAUAGGAGUAUGAAACAAUAAACCCAAAGGCGAGGGUCUCGACCAAAUGGGUGGGUCUUGUACGCACCCACACCCCUCAAGAGCCAUUACCAUUUUGAUGACAUCUAUACGAGUCUUGAUCAUUCAUCAUCUAAUUUCUUCUAAAAGAAUUUCUAGUAAAAAGUUAAUCAACACAUCGACAUGAAUUAUAUUAAAUAAAACUUAGGAAUAUGAUUCAACCUAAAAAUUAGAAUAAUCGAACUUAUUAGGCACACAGAGAUCCUCAAGCAAAGACAACACCUCAAUACAUAUCAUCAAUUGUGUUGAAAACUCACAUCUUCAUGGAUACUGCUCGUCUCAAGUAGGAGUGAACAUUCGAACCAAUUUUAAAAAUCAACCAAAUCAAUUUGAAAACUUAAUGAAACCGUUUAGUCCAAUUUGGAAAUUUUUUAAAACCAAAUUAAUCAAUUUAUUUGAUUUUAAUUUCAAACAUUGAAUAGUAUUAAACCAUGGUUAACCAGAAGGAUAGAUAGAUUAUGUUGAAGGAAAAUCAUGGUACAACCUAAAAUAUUCGAGUUGACACAAAAAAAAAUGAUCAUAUUGGUUGAAUAUGCAAGACUCAACCGAAACAAAUUUGAAUUGGGUUGAUGAGUUUGUUCUUUUUUUUUUUUUUUUCUAUUUCUAAUUCAAUCCAUCCUUACAAUUUGGAUUGAGUAAAUGGAGUUGAUUGAGUAAUUAUAGAUUUUUUUGAAGAGGCUAAUGGAUGUAUACAUAAUUGAAACUGUUUUGAAUGGAAGGAUAGAUUUGUCUUCCCAAAAAUAUAUUCAAUAAUACGUAUAUAAGAAAACAAAAUCUUUAUUUAAAAUUAAAACAAAAAUCCAACCACGAUCACACUGAAUCUCAUCCAUUCAUUCAAGAUUGGUGUGGCGUGAUCGGACGGCCUCAGGGCUCUCUCCCAACACCUCACCUAUCCGAUACACCACCAUCUCAAACAAAACAAACAAAGCUCCUUCAUACAAACUCCCCAUCGGAAGCAGAGGCCGCCAUUCCGCCGCCUCCCCCGAUUCCUCAUCGUCCGCCAUGGUCUGCGCCGGAACGUAGCAAAUCACAUCCGCGUACUUCACAGACGACCCAUUCUCUGGCUGGGCCGUCAGAACCAAAACUCUCCCGCCCUUCGAUCUGGCCACGGAGCAAAUUGCAUCCACGGUCGAGAAUCCCCCCGGGCCGGCCGACGCAAUUAGUAGGUCAGAACCGGCGAUUGGAGGCGCGUUCAUGUCAAAAACUUGAUGCGAGGAGAGGCCGAGAUGAGCGAGGCGCAUACAGAGGGCUUUGAGCAUUAGGCCCUCACGGCCGACGCCAUAAAGAAACACCCUAGCCUUACGUUCCGCGACGGAGGAGAGCUCGGAGACCAAGAUUUCGAGCGGCGGCGCGUAGGGUUGCGUGGGUUUGGAGAAGAUGGAAGCAAUUUCGGAGCAUAUUCGGGAAGCAAGAGAAGCCGGUGAUUGGGAAGCCAUUGAAAUGGGAUUUUCGAGAGCUUGAUCGAGACUCUGUUAGUUUCAACGGAUAUUGUUUAAACUAGCGAAAUCAAGGAGUUUUUGUUACAUGUAAUGCCCUUGUGGUGGAAUCUUUUCGAAUAGUCCUCUGGUAUCAUGCCACGUAUAAUUAGAGUCCAUUGUUAUUGUUUUUCUUCAAAUUGGCAUGUGGUUGUUUAUGCUUUCUUCUCAUCUAACUAUACUCUAUACAUAACUUCCGUAUCCAAAUCUAUAAUGAAAUACAUAAGUUUUAUCGUUUUGUUGAUAAUUCACAUAUAUUUGUCCAAUCAAAGUUGUACAAAUUAAAGGAGUGAGUCUUUUAAGUCUCAAGAAAAAUCAUAGUAUAAACAACAAUAACAAAUAUCAACCCUAUUGAACGGCUAAAUUAGUUGUAAGGAUUGACUCAACCAAUUUUACUACAUAUCUCAAGUUUGACUUAAUGCAAGGUGCAUCUCACAAAUACUCUUGGUAAUAUUAAUUUGAAAAAAAGACUUACAAUGGGGAGGAGUCAAUUACAAACAAUACUACCUUGAAUGUUUUCUUUAUAUUUAUCAAUUAUUGCUUAGACAAUAAUUUGUAUUUGUAUUUUUAAUUCCUAUUCCUUCACCACUCAGGACAAUUUUUGUUCAUCAAAGUUCUAUGGCAAGAAUCUGUCAUAGAUGAUAGCUCUCUGUGAUCUACUACUUCAUCUACAAUAGCACUAAUAGAACUUCAAGCUCUUGUAAGAUAGGUAUCAACGAUUUUGCUGCUCUGUGGCACAAUAGAUUACACUGCUAAUGUGCUAACUCUUUUACCCCAGCUUCAAAUCCUCCUUGAAUGACAAUUAUAUAUGAAAGAUGAAAGAACUUGAGUUUUAUAUAGCUUCUGAUUCAGAUAGCAAGAAAGCCAUUGAGUGUAAAUAGGUGCAUUGAUUUUAAACAAAUUUCAAAUAGAAAUAUUGCUCGUUACAAAGCAUAGUUUGCUACCAAAAGCUUUUCAUCAAAAGAAAGAAGUGAAUUUAUUUGAAACAUUUUACAUUGUAAAAUAGUCUAUCCCCGUAACAUUUUUUUUUAGUCUCACCAAAUAAUGAAGCAAACACAAUAUUUGAUACUUUAUGAUGAUAUAAAUACGUAUGCAAUGCAACCAUAAUAGUUGUAAAAUAAAGUUAUUAUUGCGUACAUCAUUCCAACUAGUAAUAUGACUAAUGUUUUAAAAGAGAUGAGGAAAAGUUGUCCAACAAAAUUUAAGGACAUUUUGACCCAAAAACUUAGAAAUUGGUGAAAAUAACUCAAUUAAUUCAAUGAUAAACCCAAUUAAGAAAUUUCAUUUUUUUCUUUAAUUUUCCACAUCUACCAAUAAAUUACAUGUUAUCACAACUCUAAACCCAAAACAUAAAUUUACUAACAUCAACAUAUUAACUCCAAAUUUAUGAACAUCACUCGAUACACUAAACCACUCUUGGUUGAAUGAUAAUUAAUGAUUAAUAACUAAUAUGCACUUCUUUAAUUUUAACCACUUCUCCUCCAUCCCCAAAUAAGAAAAAGAAAAAAGGAAAACAAUUAGUAAUUUGGUAGGGGUGGGGGUAAUACCGGUAUUGAUAGAAGAAGAGAACAUUGUGUUGCAAUUGCGGCAAUCGGGAGAAAUCGAAACACAAGAAGCUUGAUUUGGUUCUAUAAUUAUUUGACGAAGAGACAGAAUUUCGGUUACUUUCAGACGGUGGGAGCUCGUAUUUGCUGCACUGGAAGCCAAAGCCCUACACUUGUAGCAGUUCUUUCAGUAAUCCUUCCUUUCCAAGAGUAUGAAUCCGAUUUUCUUAUUUAUCGAUCCGAAUUUUUAAUGGGUUUCAAUCAAAAUCUAUUCAAAUUGCCUGAUCUGAUUCAUUUUCUUCCAUAUUUGAGCUUUCGGUCCCCGAAUCUCAACUCGGCACUUUUCCAUUUUCAUUUCCACUCUUUUUCAUGAUGGAAUUCUCCCGUCUCCCAUUGGAAUUGUUUCGGGCGUUCAAUUGAUCUUUUUUUAUUUUAAUGUAUCGAGUAACAAAAAUUCUUAUAUGAAAUUGAUUUCGAUACAUAUCACACGGUUCGUCAUUUGGAAUACCUUGUUCCGUAAUUUUAGUUUCAGCUCGUGGAUCUGAAUUUCCGUAAUCUAUAUGCUGAUUGUUGCCCCUGAAAAAUACUUCUCCGUCUUGUAGAUGGGAUGUUUGGAAUUAGUGUUAAGAAUCCAUAUUUGAUUUGUUAUGCAAGUAUGGAUUUUUGAGUGAGAUUGUGAGAGUGUUAUUAAUUAAAAUUUGAUGGUGCCAGGGAGUUUGGUAUUGUAUUUUCCCUUUUCCACAACAAUACAUUUCAAUGGUAGUUGCUUUUAAAUUUCAGUAAUGUUUUAAGCAGGCUUGGAAUGCAGUUUUAUGUCUGAGCUUUCAUUGACUUUGCAAAAUCUUUCGCAGAUUGCUUGAAUUUCCAAAUUUGAGCUUUAUUUUGGAAUUCUUAUGGAACCAAACAUACAGUUUGAGAAAACAGUCUGGUAUACUGAUGAGUUGAAGAUAUCCAAUGGACCGGGGGGGGGGGGGGGGGGGGAUGUUAGUUAUGGAGCAGGUUGAUGGUUUUAGAGAGUUGACACUUGCGCUGAAACAAAAUCUUUCAUUGAGUUUGUUGAAGCUUAAUUGUAUUUUAUUAUUUUAAUCUGGACUAAAAACUCAAAUCGCCUUCCUAGAAAUGAAUGAAAAGCAAUUACGAGGUUGAAAUCAAUUCGCUUAUUGUGAUUGUCCCAAUGGUUAAGUUGUAACUAUUCUGGUUAAGAGGGCGAAUAUUGCAUGGUUUGAUGCUUUAAGGAAGAGAAAUUCAUACCCAGUCUUAGAUUCUUUAUACAAUUUGUCACUACUAUUGUAUCGUUUGUCUGCUCUGCAUCCCCUGUUUUGGUUCUAGAACAAUAAGGUUAGGGGUGUGGGGCUAAUUUACAGUCUGAAUGUAGUUUCUAGUGGAGCUAUGAUCUAUAUUUUUAUUUGAUUUCUUCGAUAUUCAAGGAAGUUAUUUCUAUCUUGUUUUUGGAGUUGCAGAAUAAAUAGGCCAAAGAAGGGUUUGAAGUGAUGACGUUUGACCUCAAGGGUUAAGAGAAACUAAUACCCGAGUAAACUGAAAAGACACAAUGUUUUCUUUAUUUUAUGGCCUGUGGAAGUACCUAUUUAGUAAGACAGAGUUUCAUGUUCUCAUACUAGGAAUUGACAAGGCGGGGAAAACAGUAAACCUCUUUACUUGACUAACUGAGCAUAGUUAUUUCAUCAGAUUUUCCAUUUAUGUUUUUAGCACCUUUCUGGACUUACUAACUUCUUUCCAUUUACUUGUAUCUCUUUCCUAUAGACUUUGCUUGAGAAGUUGAAGUCCUUAUACUCAAACUUGGAAGGGCUCUCCCCUGAUCGGAUUGUUCCAACUGUUGGACUCAAUAUUGGGCGUCUUGAGGUGUUGAAUGCAAAGCUUGUCUUCUGGGAUCUGGGAGGUCAGGUAUGGAUAUACAAUGAGCCAAUGUCUUGUUAUAUGAAAUCAUUGAAUGCAACACAUGCAUGUUUUUGUUUGAGCUGAAAUCCAUCACGUUAACCGUGCUGGUCAUAUAUUGUAGUGGUAUUUAAGUCGGCAGAUUCUUAUGGUGCUACCUUUCUUUCAUUAUGCAAAAUACAUUAUGUAAAGUCUGAAAGUUUUUGCUUGAGUUCUGCAGAAUUUGUCUCUUUCAUCUUUGUGAGGGGUUGAGGGUGGGGGUUAGAAAAGGGGAUUUCAAUAUCUUAUUUAUCUUAGUUCUUUUUUCUCUUUUGAAAUUAUUGCAGCCUGGCCUUCGUUCUAUUUGGGAAAAAUAUUAUGAAGAGGCACAUGCUGUGAUCUAUGUGAUUGAUGCUGCUUGUCCUUCAAAAUUUGAAGAUUCCAAAUCUGCACUGGGUAUGUGAUAAUAUAGGAUGGUCAUAUCUUAAUUGCAUUGGUAACAGAAGGGUUCUACGGCUACAUGAUCUGAACUUGAAUAUGAUGCAUUGAUAUUAUUUUGGAUUUCUUUCCCAGAGAAAGUUCUUCGACACGAGGAUUUGCAAGGAGCUCCACUUUUGGUUCUAGCAAACAAGCAGGUCAGAACCAGGGAUAUGCUGAACUCUUUCACAUUUUCUUUUCUGAUAACCUUUUUCCUGGUUAAGGACAAGUUCAUAUAACAUGAAACUAUGAACCCUGCUGCAAUAUGAUGAAUAAUUUGUUCAUAAAUUUGAAAUUUAUUUAUUCGGUCAUUUGAAGGAUUGAUGAAAUUAAGCUAUAUUGUUGACAAUCAUGAAUACCUAAUAUUUUCUCCACAAAAUCAAAUUUGUUGUCACAUCUUGCUUUUUUCUUACAUUUAUUUGGUCGUGGCAUCAUUUGAAUGCAUGAAUGUGUAGGAUCUUCCGGAAGCAGUAUCAGCAGAAGAACUUUCUCGCUAUCUCGAUCUUAAAAAGUUGGACGAAAGAGUCUACAUGUUUGAAGCUGUUUCUGGCUAUGAUGGGUACGUGUGUGUAGCCAGUUUGUAAAUUCAAGAACUUGACAUUUGGGUUUUUAUUAUAUGCAAACUAAUGGGUUAUGGGAUGGAGAUCCAGCGAUGGUAGACAUCUUAAUCUUUGCUUUAUGCCCGUUAUCAUCCAUUAAAUUAGCUUUCACCUACAGAUAACAUGUUAGAAAACUGAAACUCUUCAUUCUCUUCGUUACAGGAUGGGGAUAAAGGAUAGUGUCGAAUGGUUGGUAGAUAUAAUGGAAAGAAGUAAAAGAACCGAAAUAUUGAGAGCUCGAGCAGGUGGGGCUGGUCUCCGUUCUGCUUAGAUCAAAUACGAAACAAUUAUAGUUGGUCUAUAUUUCUUCCAUAAACUUGUGGACAAACCAGGUUCCAUAUUAAAUCCUACAUGCUUUAGAAAUCUAGGUUCUCCCAGGAAAUCUGUUUGCUCUCUACAUUCUUUUUAAACCGUUCAAGCUGAAACGCUUCAUAUUUGCCACUUGACUUUUGGUACUUAUUGUGAAUGUUCUUCUCGUUUACAGGUGUUAGAGGCCCCUAAUUCGAAUUACAUCUUCCUGUCCGAGAGCAUCCACUCGAUCUGGCUUCCUGUUAUCUAGCUUUACUACAAAAUGUAAAGAUAAUAUUGAUUCAAAGGCUAAUUGGUAGCUUUAGAAUUCCCACCACUGAAGUACAGAAUUACGUGUUUGAACCUGGGAAUGUUUUUCAUAGCCAUUCUUGGCUGACCCUAUUUCAUACGAGUCAUCUGAAUUUUGUCAUCCAUUUUAUAAAGUUGUUAAUUUCUAGUAAGUUGUUAAUUUCUAGUGUUACAGUAGUAACGUUGAAUUUCAAUGUAUUACAGUGUUUAUUAUCAUGAUUGGAUCAACUUAAAGAUACACUAAUCUAGAUUGAACUGCAAAUUAAAUUACCCAUACUAGGUCAGCUAACAGAAGGUAACUUAGAACUAAGUCAAAAUCAAGUCCUGUUUGUAGCAUACAGCACAUUAAGUUGCCCAUGUGGUAAGGUACAAAACUUGGGCAAAAGAGGGUUGCCUGACCACAACUAACAAAACUAGUAAAUAUAACAUGAAAAACUAGUAAAUAUAACAUGAAAAAGGGAAAGGUACACAAGAAGAAAAACUUUUUUUUUUUUCUUUUCUAUGCUGCCAACCAAAACUGUACAUUUUAUGAAGUUGGUAUUAGUGCCUUUGGAACUCGUUUCUGUUCCUUUCUUGGUGGUGCAAACCUGUUCCACAGGUUUGGAAGUUAAUCUUAGGAGAUGCACCCAGUGCUUGGAUAGCCUGCUGCUUCUGGCUAACAUUAGUCUUGCAGAAAUAAUCCAAACCAGGCUGAUCUGAGGCAUUUUCAUUAGUUUUUUCUGUUUUUGACGUGCUAAAUUGGUAAAAGUAAUCCUCAAUAUCCCGAUUGUUGUCGAGUGGGAUUUCACCGGUUAGAGUUUUAAUGGCAAAUUCUAUACAAGGGUCUGAAAAUAUUUCACCAACUGGCAACUCCAGAGUUGAUUUUAGCUUCUCAACAUUAUUUUCGACUUUCCCAACUCGAGCAACAGGAAGUUCUGGACAUGCCACUUUCUCAUUAAGCUUGUUUUCUGGUCCUGAGUUACACCUCUCAUUUGGAGUAAAGGGAGUGAAAGGAUCAACAUGGUUUGGCGUGAGUGAUGCAUCUGAGCUUAUGGAUGCAUCCAAAACGUCCCCAGUAAGUGUUUUAACUGCGAAUGCAAUGCAAGGAUCAGUCAAUAAGUCCUCCAUCGGCAGUUUAAGAAGAGGGCCUUGUUUUUUAACAUUGGCCUUAUCUUCAAUUUCCACCAUGCCUACAUGCUUUUCCAGAACGUCCUCUGGAGGCAGAGAGGAUUCAGGUUUUGGUUGCUGUUCAUAUGCAUCCGCAGAUUUCAUCUUCAUAACGAUGGACAAGUCGACACAAAUAUGUGCUUUUCCACCUGAAUCUGGACUUGUGUUAAUUUUAGAAGGGUCAGCUGUGCUGUUUGUUUUAUGCUUUACAUCGGGAUUCUCAGGACAUUGAAAUGCCACCAACUUCGUUGUGCUGGCUACUUGCUUAUCAGACUCCUCACAUGCAACUGAACGUGCUCGGCGACCUGUCUUAACUUGAAGCACUGGCUCAGCUUGGAGACCUGCAAGUCGUUUUGAAGCACGGCGUGGCAAGUUUAUGUCGUUAGUUUUCCUUUGUCUCUUUCUACUCUCACCCUUUGUUGCUCCAUUUUCGAUUGGGCACUUGUGUUGGAUAAAUUCUUUAGGUGUCAACACAAUUUCAGAAAUAUCGUUCUUUCCAUCUGAUUGCUUGAGACCUUUUGCAUCUGUUGGAGUUGAGCAAUGUGGCUUAGCACUUAUCCCUCCUGCGGUAAUUUAAAAAUUCACAUUAGAUAUAAUCUUCAAUUGGCAGAAGCACUCAACAUUUUCAUUUCAAUUUUUUCAGAAAAAUUAAGGAAAGGAAGAAAAAACCCUUUUCUAGAACAGAAACUGAAAUCUUUAGCUAGAUUGUUUAAAAAGCAUGAACCUUCCACUCUAAACAAACCUCUACUUUACACAGAGAUAAGUGAUGAAGAUAGGAAAGAAUGGGGUGUUUGUCAAAUUAAGUAUGUCACACUAAAGCUGCAUGUUCAGAACAAUACCAAGGCUUGGGUCAGGUAUUGGAAACAGCACGGUUUCUCCAACACUAGCAUUUGGAAACAUAGCUUCACCAUCCACCAUUUCACUGGGUUCUGAUGUGUUCUCACUCCAUAUAAUCUGUCUCCUUGCUUUGCCAAUAGUUAGCACCUCUUUCUUGGAGACAACAGGUGACUAAUAGAGAAGGAAAUAAGAAAUUUAGUGCUAAGGUAAGAAUAAUCAACUUAAGUUUGAAACAGUUUUCUUUUUGCACUUCCGGUUUAAAAUACUUCAGAAGCAGGAAUGUUUAGUGCAACUAGUCAAAGAAACAGAAUAAUUAAGAAGGAAAUGAUGUUAUUUACUUAUCUAUCCAUGUUUAGGGACAAGCAAGUAACCAAGUUGUUUCCAAUCUCAACUCUACAGUCUAAUUCUCGAGAGAGAAAGAAACCUUGCGCUAUUGUAAUACAACCAUACUUAGGGUCUGUUUGGGAGGCUGAAAUAUAAUGAGUUUGUAAUGGUUUGUAAUUUCAAACCUGCAUUUGGAAUGAGGGCUUUGGGCCCGGUGUGUAAUCCCUAUUACAUUUCCUUCCCACCCUUUUCAAACCAACCCCCCAACCCUAUUCUCCACUGUUAUCAUGUUUUACGAUCCUAAUUCAAUAUUGGUUUUAACAUUUCAGUGUAAUCUUGAUGACAUUUCAGUCUCUCAAAUUGUCCUUGAUUGCCAAGUAGUUACUAGAAUAUUAUUUAUGGGUUCCAUCAAUUUGAGAUCCCUGAUUGAAGUCCAAAAUUUAUGUACAUAUUUUAGAUGAGAUGAAUUCACCCAAAUUUCAGCCGUUGAUACAUAGAGAGAAUCGAUGAGGGCAUAAAUAUUGAAUUAUGUGAAUAGCAAGGACCCACAUUGGAGAGAGAGAACCGACGAGGGGCAUCACUCCAAAAUACUACACUUAUUUCAUUAAGUGAUAGUUGAACCAACUGAUGAAAACUCUUGAGACCCUAAUCAUUUUUAACUUUGAGUACCUCGAGAACACUUACAGAGAUUUCAUCAUGUUGAAACUCAAUGUUGUUGUCUCUCUGGUUCCUUGAUUUAUGUGUUAAUCGGCUCACCUUGCCACUUGUUAGAUACCGAUGUACAUCCCUUAUUGAACGAAGUGCAUUUCCAUUUACUGGAUCAAUGUAAGACUGCAAACAGAAGUUCAUUUGUUAACAUUCAUGUUGUUUAGCAUGUCACUAGCUUUAAGGCACUAAAUAUAUAAAUGAAACAGAGUGCAUGGUUAGAUAGUAUAUCCAAAUUCCAAAGGACACAACAAAUAGAAAUAGAUGAUAAAUUACUGAAUCUCUUCUUAUUCUGUUAGCAGUCUUCGUUUCUCUGAUUUCUCCGAUCCAUCCAGUAGGUAAAUCUUUUGCUAUAGUCUUCUUAACUUCCACCUAGAUUGCUUGAAUAAUAGAAGUUUUUAAAGAAAAAUCAAUAAAGUUCAUAAUCCAAAAGACCAGCGAAUUGGAACACAAAAAAUAGAGUAGAGGGUAGAUUUUUUUGACAGACAUUGUUCCCUGGUUCCUUGACGGUUCUGCUCUCUUCAGAUUCAGGAUGACAGAUAGCUGCAGUUUUGAGGUAUCUAAACACCUCUGCCCUAGAAUUAAAUCUCAUUUGACUUGAGGGUUCAAAAUAAUACUGCAACAUUAGAAUCAGUCACAAAGAUCCAACUAAUUAUUUAUCUUAAAAUGAACAGAACAUUAUUGGCCACCAUCAGUUAUCUGAUCUUUAUACAGACUUCCUUUUCGUAUUAACAUUCCACAUGAUAAUAGGAUUCAUGGUUAUCAAAUACAUAUUUGAAUACCUUUUUCUUUUUCUCUUAUCAAAAAAAAAAAAAAAAAUACAUAUUUGAAUACCAAAAGCAAAUAACCAGAAGACAUUAGGAGGAAGAAACAUGUUCUUUUGUUAAGAUGUUAAUGGAAGUUACACUAACGCAAGCUUUAGUUGCAUCUUGCAUCUUUUGAAUGAAAAAUGACAUUACAGUUUGCUGUUUCACACAAGCCUAAACAGAAAGGGCCUAACAAGAGAUAGUUCAUUCACAACGCAAAUAGAAACUUUAAACUGAUGGGAAAACUUGGCCAAAAAUUAUAUGAGGGAAUCAUAGCCAUAGGAGCUGAAGAAGGCAAGUCAUUUACUCAGAUCAGAAAGUCAUAGGAAAGUUUUAGCAAAUAGGUCCAAUAUCAGAAGCAUACACAAGACAACACACUUUCUCCCCAAAUAUUAGUCACCUAUCUCCUUUCUUUUAACUGUCUACACAGCCAAAAUUUCCCAUCAGAAGUCAUAGUUUCUAACACCUAGGUGAGCAACACUCCAAAGGCCUCGUACUAAUGAAAUCAAAAGGCCUCCUCAUAAUAACGAAGAUAUACUCAUUAUCGUCCCUUAGGCCUUAUCUAUGGGACUUCGGUUGCAUUCCCACCACUAACUAACAAGGCAAAAAGAACACAUUUUCCGUAUACACCAACAGCACACAAGUUGAGCAGGAGAGUGAAAUCAAAUCAAGAGCUAGUUGUAACAGCAACGUAGAACAUAAAACUUACAAAACAGCUAAAGAUCUACGAAAUGCAAGUAAAAAGAAAUCAAAGGGAAAGAAAACCCAUUGACAAGAAAAAUCAGUACCUUAUCCUUUUUGCCACUCUUCCUCACUUUGACUUUCACAGUCCAGCCAGGUGGUAGCAAGUCUUUUGAAUUUUGGUUCAUCAUUCACCCGGAAAACUCAGACUUUCCGUUCACCCACCGGUCAAUCUCAAUAACCCUCUCUAUUUUUCGCUCUUUCAGGCACCCAAGUUUCUGAUUUUAGAGUCAAAUCUCUUGAAGAGGACGUUAGAAAUGGAGGAUUCCGACAAAAUAUUCUUUCAAAACCACGUGUUCUGAGAAAUACCCUGCGAGUCAUAUAAACGUGUCGGAACCCCAUGGAUUAUCCUCUACAAGUCUUCCCUUAAAAAUUCUGUACAACCCAUCUUUGAGGAUCUUGGAUUGGUUCUUUGGACCCGAAAAAGGAGGUGAAUUCAAAUGUUACCAACGGUUAAGGUGGAGGAGUAUGUUAAGUAAUUGGAAGUAAAGCAGAGGAUUGAAAGCGCUAGAGGUUCCGGUAACGUCUACUGUAACGGGGGAGUAAAGAGAUGCUGUUUCAAUGUACCAAAUGUUAUUACCUUUUUUAUGGGGAAUAUCGAAGCUUAAAUUAAUCUUAACAGUUGAGGUGCGAAUUCUAAGUUGAGAAUCUGAGAUUUGAAAAAAGAGCGGGUUGUUUGGAUGUCUGCUAAGUGCUAUGUGCUAAGUAACUAUAAAAGUAAAUACUUUUUCUUUUCUUUUCUUUUCUUUCUUUCAAAAAGUCAAAGAGAAUGCAUAAUUUGUUUUUGGGCUUUCAACUUCAAACUAAUUAUACAUCUUUUUUGAGUUUGAAUUACUUCUGCUCUCUGCUCUCUGCUCUCUGCUCUCUCUUUUUUUUCCUUUUCUUUUUUAAUAUUUUAUGGUUAAUGACAAUGGCUCGUUUUCUUAAAAAACUACAAAAACUGUUCAGUGGGUUAUAAUACUUAGAAGUCUUUGGAAAUCUAGAAUGUAAUCAACAUUAGUGGAAGUCCUAGGAUCUUUGGAAUGCAUGUCAAAUUGAGAGUGAAACAAAAAUGAAGUCGUAAAAUGUGAAAAUGAUGAAAAAACAAAGUUCGAUUGAAACUUGUUGAAACAAAAUGAUAAACAGUGUAGCAAAGAAGAAACUAGAGGAUGAGCUAAUGAUAAUAAAUACUUUAGCAAAUAAACUUAUGAAAUAGUAUUUAUUACUACAUUUAGUUGUAGGUUGUAAGUACUUGUACAUGUUAUAGUCAUGUACAAAGCUAUGCUAUCUUCAUCGAUGUCAUGCAUGAUAUAGUCAUGACUGAGUUAUCAGGCACAGUAGGUUAAGUUAGUUACUAUUGUGACCGAGUUUUCAGGAUAUAGAAUUAACAUAAAUGAGCAAGCAUAUAUUUGUAGAAAUCAAAAGAUCUAUUUAAAGAUAUAAAUAGUUAUUUAAAGGUAGAAAGAAUUUACGAAAACAAAGAUUUUAAAGAUUCUAUGUUUUAUGUUAUAUCUCAUGAAUUAUUUAUGCAAAAAAGGCUAAGGUUCAAUGUUAUAAAAUUAAGCUUUGCUGGCUUGACAUAUUCAAAAUCUUGACCUUACACAUUGCAACCUUAACCAUCUAUGAACAUCCAAGUAAAGUGAAAGAUGGAAAUGUUAUUGGUUGUGUAAUAAAAUAUAGAAUUAUAUAAUAUCAACUAUAAAGAUGACGUUAUGUAAUAUGAAAAUGUUACAUUAUGACCCUAAUAACAUAGGACAUUGAUAGUAUUAAAACGUAUAGAAUUAAAACGUUUGUUUUAACAUGGAGAUUGAAAAGUUAUGCAACUCUACCUUGAAUGUGAAAAGUUUCUCAACAUCCAUCUUUAUAUAUAUAUACACACACACAUAGAGAGAAAUAUAGGGAUUUGCAAACAAAAUAAUAAAUAAUAAACACAUAAAAGCUCCUCUUUUUACGCUUUUGUUUUUGUAAAAGCAAAGACCCGCCCAAGGGAAAGCCAAGCCAAAACCUCUUCACUGAAGAAAUGGGAGUGAAGAACUUGUGGGAUAUCUUAGAAUCGUGCAAGAAAACUCUCCCACUUCACCGUCUUCAGUAAGUUCUUUUCUUUCUAUCAUUUUCUUGAAAACUAAACAGGGGGUUUCAUUUUUAUUCAUCUUUCAGUUGCCCUGUUUGAGUUUUUGCCAUUUUAAAUUUGGGGUUCAGGAAUAAGAGGUUAUGCAUCGAUCUCUCAUGUUGGAUAGUUGAGCUUUCCAGUGUAAGCAAAUCCCAUUGUCAUUCGAACAGUAAGUUUUACCUAAAGGGGCUCUUUUACCGCCUUCGAACUCUCAUUGCCUUGAAUUGCAGCCUCAUUUUCGUGACAGGCAUGCUCCUUUUCAUCAUCUUCUUUCUUUCUUUCUUUUUAUCUUCUCGUAUAAUUUGGUAAUGGGUACUUAUUUUUGUGUUUAAUGAGCACUUAUGGCCUAUAGAUGGUUCGAUUCCUGGGAUUAAACUGUCAACUUAUAGACGCCGCUUGAACAAUGGAAAUGAGGUGAGGAUUCUCAUAACCCACAUUCGUUUUUUCUUUACCCCUUUCCACUUGAGUCUUACUUACCAAAACUGCAACAAAAACAGGUUGCUCAAACUGAUGCAAAUCCUCAGCAGAUUUGCUCACUGAAAAGAAACAAGGGUUCUGAGUUCUCUUUAAUGAUAAAAGAGGCACAAGCCUUAGGACUGGCGCUUGGUAUCCCUUGUCUAGAUGCGUAAGUUCCUUUCUUCUUUAAAAAAUCUCGUGAUGUCUCUAAGUUGUUAAACAGUAAAAGAAAGUUUAUCACUGCAUUUGCUGUCAGCAAAGCAAAUUUUAAGUUUUUAUUUAGUAUUUAGCUAAAUACUACAAUUUAGAAGGGUCAUUAGAUUUUAAUCAGAACUAUAUUUAAAAGUUAAGUUUGAUGAGAAUCAAGGCUUGGUAACGGGUGUAAUUUAAUCAAGGUUUGGAUAUCUUGUGGUUUUCACUCUGUUUUCUAACUGAGCUCUUCAACCUUGUAACAUAUUCUUCUAAAUAUAGGGUAGAGGAAGCUGAGGCACAAUGUGCAUUGCUGAAUUCAGAAUUAUUAUGCGUAAGUAUAGGCUUAGACCUUGUCUAGUAAUCAUUUGGUUUUUGGAUGAUAGUUCUUGAAAACUAAGCUUAUAAACAUCUAUUCCACUUAAAUUUCUUGUUUUUUUAUCUACUUUGUAGCUUUUAGAAAAUUUAUUGUUGUUUUUGGAAUUUCAUUUUUGAAUUCAACUCUUAUACUUAAGAAAAAUGAAAACUAUUGUAUGAAAUAAGAGAAAAUAGGCUUAAUUUAAAAAAAUCAAAAACAAAAAACAAAAUGAUUACCAAACGAGAUCUUAGUAGGUAUAUUUCAGUGUGCUGGAUGAUUAUUGCUUCUGUAGUCUUGAACAUCAUUACUAUUAUUAAGUCUCAUUUCAUGAUCAGGAUGGAUGCUUUACUUCAGAUUCAGAUGCUUUCCUUUUUGGUGCUAGGACAGUAUAUAGGGAUAUCUGCCUUGGUGAGUGCCAUACUAGUGCAUACUCAUUUUCUAUCCAGUUGAUUUAGAUUUUGAAAUAAUGUACUCAUUAUGCCAUUAAUUGUUAAAUUAGGAGAUUCUGGUCAUGUGGUUUGUUAUGAAAUGGAUGACAUCGAAACACGGUUAGGAUUCGGAAGGAACUCAAUGGUAAACUUUUUUUUUUUUGUUGCUCUGCCUCUACAGUUCGAGCAAUGUAGUUUUUAGCAGGGUGGGAAGUUUCACUUAUAAGAUAAGUUUUCUUUCGUAUGACCAAAUAUUUAACCAACAUCCACGAAUCAUUUCGAAAUGGUUUGCAGAUUACGUUUGCUCUACUUCUCGGUAGUGACUACUCGCAAGGCGUUUAUGGCAUGGGACGUGUAAGUUUAAAUUUCCUUUUUGCUCGGUUGGAUUGCUGUUUAUAAGUACAACCCCUUCGCAGUGUUUAACAUUGCAGUGUUUAACUGUGUCUAUGCUGUCAUUAUACCCUUUGUAGGAAUCAGCUUGUCAGCUUGUUAAAGCAGUAGGUGAUGGUGCUGUUCUUCAAAAAAUUACAUCUGAGGGACUGGCUCUCGCGAAGAAGGGGGAAAAUUCCAAGAAGCAAGGACUUCCUAAAUCUGGUUACCCUACUACUAUGAAAUGCAUUUCUCUUUUCGAAACACUAAAAUAAGUGGGAUAGAGAAAUUUAAACCUUGUAUAGAAAUUAGAAACUGAACGGCAACCAGUUUUUGCCAAUUGAGCCAUCAAGAGAAGACUUAGGAUCUUAAACAUUGUAGACUUGAGAAUAAUCUGAUAUGAUAUAGGUCAAUCAAGUUUAAAUUUUGAUUUGGAUGAUUUUGGUUGCAUAGGGCAUGGGCAUUAUAUGCUUAAAUGUGAUGAGUUUUCAGAAGUCAUUGAUGCCUAUUUGAAACCCAAAUGCCACUCAGCGGAUUCUGAAGCUGUGACUAGGUGAGUUUGUUGAACCUUUGGAAUUACAAUAUAAAUUUUGUUUUAGUUUUUUUUUUUGGCUGUGGUGCAGCAAUAUAUCCACUUCUUCUACCUCAACUCUGCACCUAAAUUUCCUUAUAAGAUAUGUUUAUGUAUAUGUUACACCGCCAAUUAAGAAUGCUUAUAAGAGGGGUAAGAAAGGCAGUUCACCCAAGACAGGAGAGUAGCUGGCAGUGGGGUUGGAAGUGCACGGUUGCCAGGAAUGUUGUUUAUGGCCUUGGUAGCUAUUUGGUUUUUUAUUUUUAGUUUUUGAAAAAUUAAGUCUAUAAACAAUUCUUCUAAAUUUCUUUUUUUGUAAUCUAUUUUUUCACUUAAUACUCUCCUUGUUUGGUAGUUGUUUGGUUUCUGGUUUUUAAUUUUUGAAAAAUAAUGUCAAUAAACAGUUCUUUUAUCUCUAAUUUGUUUUGUUUUGUACUUUAUUUGUUUACUUGUGCUCUCAAAAAUCAAGUCAAAUUUUGAAAACUGGAAUUCAACUAAGAUUUCAAAACUGGAAUUCAACUAAGAUUUCAAAACUGGAAUUCAACUAAGAUUUCAACUCUUUUACUUAAAAGUAAUGCAUACUCUUGUAAGAAUAUGAAAGGAAAUAGGCUUAAUUUUUAGAAACAAAAAACAGAAGAUGAAAUGAUUUUGAACUAGGCCUAAUACUUUUGUUUUAGAUAGAGGUAAUAUCUUGAUAUUUGUAGCAUGGGAAUUCUUGUGAAGAGCCUAGCCCUCUCGUCAAAGCUGGUUGUUUGUUGGUUUCUUCCGGUUAUUUGAAGAACCUUUCCCAGUACAUUUUUGUUCGAAAGUGAAGUAACUCUUAGAGUAUAUUACACAUUUAUGCAGUCAUUGACUCAUUAUUAUGGUAUAUCUGGUGAUAAUUCAAUGCUUCCAUUUUCUUCCUCUACAGGGUUCUUGAUCAGCACCCUUUUCAACAUGUCAAACUUCAGCAGAUAUGUGCCGAAUUUUUUGAAUGGUCUCCUGAGAAAACAGGUUCUCUUUUCUCUCAUCUUUGCUAAGUAGAUAAAAUUAUUUGGUUUAGUUUGUGAAUACAUCCAUCAUCCACUUGUGGUUUAGAUGAGAACAUUCUCCCAAAGAUAGCAGAAAGAGAUCUACGGCGAUUUGCAAACAUUCGGUCUAGAACAUCAGAACUUGGUUUCAAUAUUCCACUUCAAGAGGUAAUAGCCAUGGAAACCUGUUGAACAGUCAUUAUACUGUAUCUGUUCGGUUACUUUUUUUUUUAACAGAUACCAGUUAGCUGUCCUAUUUCUGGAAUUGUCAAGCAUCGAAAAGUCCAGGGCAAUGAGUGUUAUGAGGUUUCUUGGAAAAAUAUUGGACUUAAUUUAUCUGUUGUCUCAGCAGAUCUCUUGCAAAGGUAUUGAAUUUCUUUAAAUGAUUCUGUUAUUUACAAGUAUACUGUUUAUUUUUGCAUCUCAGUUUCUUCCGUAACAUUGAAGUACUUCUAAGGUGAGACUAUUAUUUCUAACCUUUUCUUUUCAUAUGUUUUACAGGGCCUGUCCCGAGAUGAUUAUAGAAUUUGAAGAGAAAAGAGCCGAUGGAAAAAAGCAAAACAAGGGCAAAACUAAAACAAAGAAGUCGGCGGCUGUUAUGGCUGAAAUUGAUAAAAGACUUAAAACGCUGUUGCUCGAAAUUGAAUCCGAAAGCAGGGUAGUUCAUAAUAUCUCCCACGUUCCCAUUGAUUCAAAGACUUCUGGUACUGGUGUUCAUGAACUGAACCAAGAGGUUUUUCUCAACAUUGAACCAAUCAUUGUUGAUCAUGCUCGUAGCUGUAGCACAAAGAGGAUUGAGGUCAUCGAUCUCUUAAGCCCUUCACCUGCAAUUCAAACCCGUAAUGUUUCAAAAUUUCAACAGAAAACUAGUCAAAAGAUUGAUGUAAUUGAUUUGAGUGAUACAGAAAUUGAUCAGUCACCAGAACAUGAGAGAAAGGCAAGAGAGUUGAGAUCUUUCUUAGCUUCAUUAAAGGGUAAAUGACUUCUUCUUAAGGACAGUAACGUACCAAUGUAUAUUGCAAUAGAAGUUGCAUAUCUGUUGCAAUGAGACCAUUGCUGACAGAAGAUAUAUAAUUUGGAAUUUUGUUUACACGAAUGAAUCCAAUUCCUCUAUUCCUCAACAAGAUGGAUUUCUGUACGCAAAGGCCAUUUCAAAAAAGAAAAGAAAGAAAGAAAGCCACUAAUAAUAUAUAUUUGAAAAUCAGACUGAACUAAUGCCCUUUGUACACUCUGCAAGGGGUCUCCUCACUGCUCGCCCAAAAAAACUCAUUGAUUAUCCACUCCAAGAUGAGUGAGUUCUAUCACCUGUCAUUUCAUACAUUAAAAUAAAAGAAAUGACUAAAGCAUGACAGCAGUACAAUAGAUAAAGUAAUUAAGGUCAAAAUACUGUGUUUUACCUUCCUAACAAGUCCAUGGCCAUGCUUCUAGCUUGGUAAAUUUGAUGGCACCAUGUUCCCACAUCAGCAGAACGUACUGUAGCUUUCAAGAAUAGAAAGAAUUCCUCAUAACCAUCAAUUCUCUCGAGGAAGGACUGGAAGCUUUGCCAUUCCAAUCCCUUAACUGAUGCUUCUGCCAAAUGUUGUUCUGUGGAUUUGCGCUGUGCUCUUCUUGUUACUAUUUCUUCCAACCAGACCCCCAUUUCUGUGGCCCGUGCAAUACACGAUAAAGGUAUCUAAAAACAUAACAAAGGCAAAAAGAACUUGGGUCACAACAGGUAAACAGCAUUCACACAGGUUUUUCAAGGGAGGAUGCUUCAUAAAAUUUCAAACAGAGGGCAGGACAGCAGGAUAAAUGAAGUUACCUGUGCAAGUUGUGCUACUUUGAAACCAAAACUACUCUCCGCAACACCAGAAAUGAGCUUAUACAAGUAAGUCACAUCCUCAGUUGAUUUUGGGCCUGACAAGCUUGGACUUUUGUGUGAUGUAAGAUAUGAAACAUGGUAUACCCCCGCAGAUGCUGGGAAUUCCUUUGCAAUCUCAGCAACUUUGGGAUAGUGGGUGACAAAGAGAACCAAACAUUUCUUCUGCUGGAGUAGACUAUGCAGAGCUGCGUAUGCAAUGGCCACACCAUCGUGGGUGCUUGUACCUCUCCCAAGUUCAUC